rnacentral:lncRNA from 1 species
AUGUAAACAUCUUUCUUUGUUUCAGAGUGCAGGAGACCAAUUUUUCUGUAAUAACAACAUGAGUAUUUCCAGAACAGACAACAGCAAUAAAGCUCACUGCAGCCGUUCAAAGGAGAAUGGAAAGUCUGAGUUUACAAGAAGAAAUUCUGAUGCAACCAAAUCUUAGUGCCUUGACUUCAUUCAACAGUAACACUAACAUAGCAGGUAACUGAACCUCUUUGAUAGGCCUUUAUCUCCUCAGAAUGCGCCCCACCUUCGGCUGAUGCAUAGAUAUCCAUCCUUUUCAAGACUCCUGCAUUCUUCAAAAGGUACUCAAUCACCUGCAAUUCAUGUAGCUUCCCUCCAAAUCCCCGGACACUGAUUCCCCUGAGACAAUUCCGCAGACAGUCGGCCGGAACAUCCCGUUCUUCCCAUCGCUGGACACAAUCUGGAAAUUCACCUAUGGCCUCCUAAUGAAACAUAAUGCCAAAAGGAAACGGUUAAAGAUGCAAGUGUUUACUAAUAUCUACUUUGCCAACAACAAUUAGUACAAAAGCCAAAGAAACCUUCUCCAAGUCAAGAGUCUGUAGAAAAGGGGAGCGUUCAAGUGCAAAGGGUAAAAAGUUCCAGCUGCAGCAAUAAACGAAACCAAGUUUCAACUUUUCCAGAGAAUAAAAUGUAGGUAAGAGUUCAACAUGUCCUCCUGUGAAAUCAUCAUCAUCAUCACUGGAGGCAGCACCAGCAUUUUGCCUUACGAGGAUGGAACUGAGAGCCUUAGACAUAUAACAAGAGUAGACUUAAUAAUUUAUUCCUUGUAAGCAAAUAAAAACUUAAAAGAAAGAAUUAUGAAAAAGAAAAAACAGAUACUUGCUCCAACUGUACAUCCAGAAAGUGCAAGGGAAUUGAUGUUAUAGAGCUCUCGAAGAAAGCUGAUCCUCUCGUCACUCCAAUGAUCAAAAUCAAAUCCCCCACCCCUGGGGCACAUAAAAACACCUCCAAUGCCAAUGUCUGCCUUCUCAAGAAGAUUUAAGUUUCGGAGGAUAUACUGGGCAAAAAAAUUAUCUCUCAACUCAAGGCACACAAGGUUUUGCGACGGUAUAAGUCCCUAUAAUGGCCAUUCACACCUAACUGAAUAACAUCCAUGUGAAGAAUCCUAAGACUUGGAAAGAUGACCUGUUGGUCAGGAUCAGGAUCAAGAGUAAUAUUGCCUUGUAAUUUCAGAACCUCAAGUGCUGUGCUGGUGCAAAGGUUUGAAGGCAAAUCAAGAAAGUUAUCCUCAUUUAUGUUGUCGACUCUUAUAUCUACUUCAACCACAUUGUUUGUCCAUCCACGUACCACCCAAUCCUUCAAGACUUCCGCAUCAUAGCUUUGUAGGCAAUGAAGGUAAAAUCUUCGAAUCACUAACAAAUUCACUCUAUCAAGAAUAUCACUGACAAAUUCUUGACAACACCAUUCUAUAGUGUCGGGUGAGAGAUCUGGUUGAAGAAGAUCACUAUCGUCGAAUGCAAGUUGGUGGAACUCCACCUCAGUCCACAAGUCAAUCCAUUGUCUAGAAAUUAAAGCAGUUCCAACAGCAUUUUUAGUUGGUUAAAAUGCUAUUAUACAGCGAAGGAUAUCGUCUGGGAGACCAUAAAAAAAAUUACGAUGUCUAGGUGGCAUAGUGUCAGUACUGAGUAGCUAAUAGCUAAUUGAAGAUGUUUGUAAGCAGUUGAUAUCCCUCUCUGUUAGCUAUAUCUCUCUGCAUAUUCAAAGACUAUAUUAGCAAUUGACAGUGUACUACUAGACACAGACAUAGUUCUUAUGUUCAAAAUGAAGACUAAAAGAUGGCUGAUGAACUAUAAAAUUGUGACAAAGUUCCCAUGAGACAAAACAGUAAACUAAUUGGACAAAGCAAUUCGAAGUAUAAAUAUUUAACUUGCAAAAUGGAUAAUUUUAACUUGAAAAACUAAGAAUUUAUAUCUACUAUGUCUGUGAUUGGGAGAAACUUAACAGCAUUUAAGCUAACAGUAAUUUUUUAUUUUAAGAAAUUUGGAAAAAAAAAAAAGUACACUGUGAUUCAACCAGGCGAAUCAAUUGCUUGCUGCCUAGAAAUUUUUCAUCUUGUUUACACUUAAAUUAAUCAAAAAUAAAGAAAAUAAAUAAAUAAAUAGCACAUAGAUCAUCAGUGCACCUACACCUACCAGAGCUCUUCAGCUACAACAAUCAAAACAAACUGUGGUACCAAAAAAUCUGAUGAUAACAUAUAUUGCAUGUGACUUGAAGCUCUACUCUUGGAAGGAUGAUUAAAAGAAUCUGAAAGUUCCAUAAACAUUACGGAUGAAGAAAUUUUCAGAAAGUUCUUGUUUUUCGGUUAUUAAAAUAUAUUCUCAAUAAGGCACAAAUAAUUUUCAGCAUUGCAGUAAUUGGUCUAAUGUUGUAUAAUCAAUCAACUUGGCUUGGAACAGACAUUGGGCACUACAGAAUGGCAGUUCAAUAAGGCUUGAUGCAGAUCGAAAAAAGUUCAAAUGCACAGAACAAAGAUAAUUUAUGUGUCGCCAAACUAUAUAACAGGAAAGAAAAUGAAAAUUCCCAUAUAUCCAGAAAGAAAAUGAACUAAAACAAGAACCUAUUUCAUGUAAACAUGAACUUAUCAUCACAAGAUCCAUCGAAGAUCUCAGAUCUAAAAGAAUCUCCCAAAACCUAAUUGAAUUAAAAGAUCCAGUCACAUCAUACAGAAAAUAAGAAACUACAAACAGAAUUUAUCAUUCUCCACACUGUUAAUAUGUUAUUACAAAUCAAUUGGUCGACACACUAUUAUGAAAAACCCCCAAAAUCUCAAAACCGUAGCCAAAUUAUCAAUCAAUUACUAUGUUCAUGAGAGUAAAGAAUCAAUGUAUUAUGUUUCUACGACUAAAUCAAGAUCAUAAACUCAUUUCGUGCAAUUUUUUUUUUUUACUUUUAAAGUAAAAUGACAAUUUAAAAGAAACAGAGAACUCACUUCGAGCAGAAGAUUCCUCUCUCUUCGAACGAAAUUAUCACAACAAAUCCUUUGAAAUUAAUCCAAGAUCGACUCUUUAAAUUGAUUUCUUGUGAUUUUAGGGUUCUCAAAACCUCUUGUCUCUUUUUCCCGCGCUAAAUUUCAUAAACCAGUUAGUUGUGUGGAUGUGGACCGCAAAACGAGUUGAUUCAUUUUUCCGUUUAUUUAUUUAUCUAUAUCGGUAGCCUUAAAUGUCUUUUUUGCCCUUCGAUCUGGUAGAGGUAAUGCAAUGGAACUAUGGAAGUAUGCAAGCAGUAAGAAGCUAACGAGGAGGAUUAAAAUGUCUUUAUGCUGAUUUACACAAUUAGUUGGAUGUGCAAAUACCUACAACAGCUCUAACAAAUUCGGUUAGCCACGUCAGCUUACUCGUGACGGCUUUUCAGCGGACUCGAACAGUCUCAGCUUUGUGCAAAUACACCCUUGAAGAAGACUUUCCUUUAUUUACGAAAUAACCCCAUCAACGUUUUAAAGACUACAAACAAACCCAAAUUCAGAUAUUAUUGAAUCAAAUCCAAGACAAAUCAUUUGAGUUAAUUAAUGUAUUUAAGAAUCAAUGUCAGAAUCGAUCAUGGUACUUCAGGGGCAUUGCUUCCCAAUUCAUUACAUUUUAUGAUUUAUGUGAAUAUUUUCAUCAUUAGUUGAGAUAUACAUAUACAUACUUUAAAGUGAAUAGAAGAUAGCAAACUUCUAUAUGAUUGAAAUCACCAAACUACUUGGUAUUUCUUAGCAGCGACCACCAUAACUUCUCUUGCCAAAUUGUAAACUGCCAUAUCCCUAAUCCAAGCACUAUUAAUUCUAUCCACAAUCACUCCAACAUCAAAUGAACAUAAAAAAAAAAUUAUAAAUUGAAAUUUUAAUGAGGUUUAAUGAGAAAAUGAGUGUAAAGAGAAAUUAUAAUCCAAGCACUAUUAAUUCUAUCCACAAUCACUCCAGCAUCAAAUGAACAUAAAAAAAUAAUAAAUUGAAAUUUUAAUGAAGUUUAAUGAGAAAAUGAGUGUAAAGAGAAAUUUCAAGGAUUCAUAGCUACACUAUACCCUUUAAAUCAUUAAUAACACUUAUCAAAAAGGGAGGAUUGAUGAUUAAAUUAAUUGUCAACACUAAUUCUAAAGCCAUAAAUUGCUUGUACAAACAAAAGAUGUGGCAUAACUCUAUUGGUUGGAUGAAAAUAUCGCGUGAUUUAUUUUCUUAUUUUGUAAUCUUAUAUAUUCAACUGACACUAUGAUCUUAUAUUAGUUUACACAAAAUAAUUUAUACAAACAAUUUGUGGUCGUAGUAUUACUCAAUUAUUAAUUUAUUCAAAUCCAUCAGUUGAUGAGCUAGCAUAUAUAACUUUUCUAUACUAAAUAAAACUUAAAAUCUUCUCAAGACGGGAUUCCUGAACAAACGUGAUGAAGACUAUGAACGUAAAAUAAGGAUACUAACAUAAAAUAAAAUACCCAAAACUCCUAUCCGUAAGAAUCAGUAUAAUUAAUUAUUCAAACUACGUUUUGUGUAUAGUGUUAAAGCAAGCAGGAUGAAAAUUAAACAAGGAAACAGGAAAGGCAGCAGCGCUAAAGAAGGUUAAUGAUGCCGAAGAGAAAAUGAAGCAUGAAAUCCAUGGAGCAGCAUGGAGUACAAGCAUAGAAAAAGACAAAAGUCUGAGAACUAAGAACUAAGAACCAGGAACCAAGAACCAAGCAAAAGUGAAAAGUAGAAAAAGACAAAAGUCCAAGAACCAAGAACUAAGAACCAAGAACCAAGAACCAGGAACCAAGAACCAAAAACCACGAACCAAGCAAAAGUGAAAAGUAGAAAAAGACAAAAGUCUAAGAACUAAGAACCAAGAACCAGGAACUAGGAACCAAGAAUCAGGAACCAGGAACCAAGAAAAGUCAAAAGUAAACCAGGAAAUCAACAAAUAAAAGGAAACAUAGCCUGCAACAUACAAGGAAACAAAGCGUAAUAAAAUUCUAAUUAAUCUAGAAGCUUCAGAACUUACUUUGAGAAGGAGACAAAAAUAGACUUCAAAUAAAAUUCUAACUAAGUAGGGAAAGUUGAUAAAAAAUAGGAAUUAGUAAAAACCUAGGAUACCGAAUAUUUGUAUUAUAAAUAGAGAGCUCCAAAGGUGUAGAAAAAGGCAAAAAAAAAAAAAAAAUUGGCGAGAGAGUAGCAAGAAAAAAAAAACUCCAUUGUAAUCGUUAUUUUAUAGUGAAUUUGCUCUCUUGACUCCCGUGGAUGUAGGCCAAGCGCUGAACCAGUAAAUCUUUGGUGUUUUGCUCUUUUUAUAUCAUCCCUUUUAUUCAACUCUUCGGUUGACCAGAAAUUAGCAUCAACAGAUUGGCGCCGUCUGUAGGGAAGAUAUAAUUAAUUGUAAACAAAAAAUUAUUCAACUCAACAUCAUGAGCCAGUGAAGCAACCAUAGGCAUCGUAAUUUACUGCGGGUCCCCAGUCCCCGAAGGAGGCAGCGUAGCAACAUAGGCCCACUCCCACCACUUACGCAACAAGUGGCUGAUUUGACAUAAAACAUGAAUUUGGUACUUUAGUACAUAGAGGGUUAAAGGAAUCAAGGGUUUGUCCUGCCAAUGGAGGAGCAACAACAGCAUCACCAAUAUCAUGGUCAGCAUGAUCAUGAAAAGGAAAGAUCUCAAGAUGGCUCACGAGUCAAGAGCCAUGCUAGUCACGCUAAUUAUGAAAAACUCAAUCUACUACAAACGUUGAACUCUAGAGAUUUACGGGAGAGAUUAAAUGAAAAAUGCCAGUUUAAAAUCUAAUCCAGAGGGUGUGAACUUGUUGAGUCUAGUGCUGACUCAACGAGUUUGGAAGCAGAAUUGCGAAAGCUCAAGAAAAGAAUAGAUGAUAUUGAGAAAACUCCGGUUGGACCAUACAUGGAGGAGAUAAAACCUCCAUUCACUAAGGACAUAUUGGAUGCACCUCUCCCUCUAAAAUUUAAGAUGCCCCAGAUAAAAUUAUAAGAAGGAGAAUGAGACCCAACAGAACAUUUAGAAACUUACAGAUCUUGGAUGGAGCUGCAAGGAGCGUCAAGAGCAGCCAUGUGCAGGGCUUUCUUGCUGACACUUACGGGAGCAGCGCGAAGGUGGUACAGAAAGCUAAGACCAGGAUCAAUUUCCUCAUUUGCCCAACUAAGUCAAAUAUUUAUUAGCCAAUUUGUUGGGGCUAGAGACCAUCAGCUUCCACCUACUCAUCUUUUGCCGGUUAAACAUGGGAAUGAUGAGUCACUGAAAGAUUACAUUACUCGCUUCAACAAAGAAGUUGUAAGGGUAGCAAACUAUAGUGAUGCAGUAGCCUUGACUGCUAUUAUGGCUGGAUUGCAACCAAGAAAAUUCCAUUACUCACUCGCAAAAAACCCACCAAGAACUUUUCACAGAGUUGCUAUUAAGAGCCCAAAAGUAUUCAAAUGCAGAUGAGUUAACUAAUGCGAAAAGGGGGACUGAUUUAGACUUACAAAGAGUGGGAGAAAAGAGGAAGAGAAAUGAGGAACAAAUUAAGAAAAAAAAAAAAGCAAGUAGGCCAGAAAACAAAGGUCCAAGAAUUCCGCAAAGCAGGUUUUCAGGCUACACGCCACUUACUCUAUCCAGAGAGCAAGUACUGAUGUAAAUUAGAAACUUAGAUUUAUUGUGAAAGCCCAAAGACAUCAAGGCAGCACCCAAUUGAAUGGAUAUAAAUAAAUAUUGCCGAUACCAUCGAAAUCAUGGCCAUAACACAAAAGAUUGUUUUGAUCUAAAGGAAGAAAUAUAAUUUUUGAUCCAAAGAGGAUAUCUUAAAGAAUUUGUGAGGAAAGAUAGUGGAAGAAUAGAGGAGCCAUCCCAUGUUCCACAAAAAAUAACAUCAUCUGCAGCCGUGCGAGCAGAAGGCCAAGACAUUGUGGGUGGCAUACCUAUAAGGACUACAUUCGGUGGACCCACAAGUGGAGGGGAUUCUAAUAGGGUCCGAAAAGCUCACAGUAGAGAGGCCGGAAACACACCGAGAGAUUUCCUUGUAGAUUUAGCAAGCAAACCUAAAAAAGAAGCCAAAAUAAGACAUAACACCAUCACAUUUACAGAUGAAGAAGCAAGAGGAAUACAUGAUAUACAUCAGCUCCAUGAUGAUGCCCUGGUCAUCUCCAUAAUCUUGGCAAAUAGGAAGGCCUAUAGAGUUUUGAUAGACAAUGGAAGUUCGACAAAUACUCUGUAUGCAGCAGCAUUUGACAAAAUAGAGAUUGGAAGAGAGAAAUUAAAACCAAUACGCACACCCUUAAUUGGUUUUGGAGGAGAAUGUUUGAUCCUUUUGGUUUAGCAUAGAGUUACCAGUGACAAUGGGGGAACCACCCCACCAAGUUACUAAAAUGAUAAAUUUCUUAGUAGUGGAACAUCCGUCGGUUUACAAUGUUAUUUUAAGGAGACCUGCUUUAAACAUGUUCCAAGCGGUACCUUCAACUUACCAUUUGAUGAUAAAGUUUCCAGCAGAAUGAUGAGUGGGAGUCUUAAGAGUUGAUCAAGAGAAUCCAGAAGAUGCUACACUACUGCUUUGAGAGGCAUGAUGGACAAACAUGAAAACCUGCAGAUUAUGCUUGACCCAAUAGAGGAAAAAUGUGAGCAAAUGGGUUUUCCAGUAGAAGAAUUAGACACAGUUCAGCUGCAAUAAGGAGAUCAAAGUUAGUGCACCCUAGUUGGCCAGUCGUUGACUCCGGAGCUACGUGCACAAAUCGAAAAUUUCCUUAGAGCAAAUUCUGAUGUAUUCACAUGGUCCCAUGAAGACAUGCCUGGAAUAAAUCCUGAAGUAAUAACCUAUCGAUUGAAUGUUAAUCUUGGUUUUAAACUAGUACGACAAAAAAAAAGGUCUUUUAAUCCAGAAAUGUAUGAAGCAGUUGUUGAGAAAGUUGAUAAGCUAUUAAAAGUGGGAUUUAUUAGAAAAGUGCAUUACCUUAUCUGGCUAGCUAAUGUAGUAAUGGUUAAAAAACCAAAUGAAAAGUAGAGAAUCUGCAUAAACUUUACUGACUUAAACAAAGCAUGCCCCAAUGAUAGCUUUUCUUUACCUAGAAUCGACUAGUUAGUUGAUGCAAUCGUUGGGCAUGAAUUAAUCACCUUUUUGUAUGCGUACUCGGAUUACAACCAAAUUCAAAUGUAUCAUUCAAAUAGGGAGAAAACAACAUUCAUCACAAAUAAAGGCUUAUAUUGUUAUAAUGUAAUGCCUUUUGGGUUGAAAAAUGCUGGAAUAACUUAUCAAAGGUUGGUCAACAAGAUAUUUGCUGGACAAAUUGGAAGGAAUAUGGAAGUUUAUGUAGAUGACAUUCUUGUUAAAAGCAAGAAAAUGGAAGAUCACGUUGCAGACCUAGAGGAAGCUUUCAAAAUUUUGAAACAUUUUAAUAUUAAGCUUAAUCCAAGUAAAUGUGCUUUUGAAGUCUCCUCCAGAAAAUUCUUAGGAUUUAUGGUCAGUCAACGAGGAAUAGAAGAUAAUCCAGAAAAAAAUUCAGGCUCUCUUGGAUAUGGAGUCACCAAAGACGAUGAAUGAGGUCCAAAGAUUAACAUGGAGGGUUGCUGCCUUAAGUCGCUUUAUUUUGUGAGCAACAAAUAAAUGCUUGCCAUUCUUUAAAACUAUAUGUGGAGGAAAGAAUCUACUAUGGACAGAUGAAUGCGAGAAAGCAUUUAAGGAAUUGAAAAAGUACAUAGGCAACCCACUAAUUCUUUCCAAACCAAUGCCAAGGGAAAAUCUAUACAUUUACCUAGUUGUGUCGGACUCAGCGGUGAGCUCAGUAUUAAUAAGAGAGAAUGAUAGAGUGUAAAAACCUAUCUACUACAUGAGCUAUGCACUGUUAGAUGCUGAAAUGAGAUAUCCAAUGAUAAAAAAAAAAAAAAAAGUCCUAGCAUUGGUGAUCUCUGCUAGGAAAUUAAGGCCUUAUUUUGAAGCCCACACAAUAGUGGUGCUGACAAAUCAACCCCUUAGAUAGGUCAUGCAAAAACUAGAAGCGUCUGGAAGAUUAGUCCAAUGGGCAAUGGAACUGGGAGAGCACGAUAUUAAGUAUCAGCUUAGAACAACAAUUAAAGGACAAACUGCUGUAAAUUUUGUCACAGAAUUUACCAGUAAUCGACUCAGAAAUGAAAGAAUUAACUCUGGAGCUUUACUGAUCUAGAAGUUGUGUGUGGAUGGUUCAUCAAAUCGACAAGGAAGUGGGGCAGGACUAAUUUUAGUGACUCCGGAAAAUACUGAACUAAGUUCUGCCCUCCGAUUUGAAUUCCAAGCCUCCAACAAUAAAGCUGAAUAUAAAGCACUACUCGCUGGACUUAGAUGGGCAAAAGAAAUGGGGGUAGAAACGCUGGAAAUAUAUAGUGAUUCACAAUUGAUUGUGAACCUAAUUAAGUCAGAAUACCAUGCGAAAGAAGAUAAAAUGAUGGAAUAUCUUGGGAAAGUUAAGGAUAUGCUCGAAAGUUUUGUGGAAUACACUACAACGCAAAUUUCAAGGGAAGAAAAUAGUAAAGCAGAUGCUCUUGCGAGGUUAGCUUCAGCUACUGACUCAAGCAUGACCCUAACCAGACUUAUUCUUAUGGAAUUUUUACCGAGUCCAAGUAUUAAUGAAAAAGUGAGUGGUAAGGUCAGUCUCGUUGCCAUAAGUGGGAGUUGGAUGGAUCCCAUCAUCAAUUAUCUAAACAGUAAAAGGUUAGCAGACAAUAAGCAAGAAACAAUAAUGAUAAGAUUGAGGUAAGCACGAUAUAUGAUUUUAGAGGAUGUGUUAUACAAAAAGGGAUACUUGCUGCCUUCUACCUUUGAUGCCUGACUCCUAAAGAGGCAAGUUAUGUGAUGAGAGAAAUCCAAAAGGGAAUCUGCAGUAACCAUUUUAGAGCUAGGUCUCUAGUUCUAAAAACAAGUUCGCCAAGGAUACUUUUGGCCCACAAUGAAAGAAGAUGCAUACAAGUUUGUCCAGUAGUGUGACAAAUUUAAGAGAUAUUCUAAUAUCCCUCGCCAGCCUCCAGAACAACUCACUCCAGUCACCAGCCCCUGGCCGUUUGCGCAGUGGAGCAUAUACAUCAUUGGUCCAAUGCCAAUAGACAAAGGUCAAACCAAAUUUGUCGUGGUGGUAAUGGACUAUUUUACUAAAUCUAUUAUAUAUAGGUUCAGAAUCCUUCAAGCUAUUGUUACAAAAAGCAAUUUGACAAUCCUCGCUUUAGGGGAUUAUGUCAGAGUCUUGGAAUUAAGAAUUUCUUUUCUUCACCAGCCCACCCUUGAGCUAACGGGCAAGUAAAAGACUAUUAAUAAAAUAAUCAAGCACUACCUAAAGACCAAGUUAGAAAAGCACAAGAGAGCUUGGGCAGAUCAGCUUCUAUUUGUAUUGUGGUCGUAUAGGACAACACAUACUACAAUAACCAGAGAAACACCAUAUUCCUUAGCGUUCGGUACGGAGGCAGUAGUUCCAGUUAAAAUAGGGAUGCCAUCAUAUAGAGUGCAACACUUUCAGCCAUAUCAAAAUGAGGAGCAACUAAAAUUCAAUCUUAACUUACUAUAAGAAAAGAAAGAACAUGCCUGACUUAGAGUUGUAGUGUACAAGCAAAAGGCAGCUCGAUAUUUUUAUUCAAAAGUAAAUUUAAGAAGCUUCCGGGUUGGGGGUUUAGUUCUUAGAAAAUUAUUUUAGAACACCAAAGAGCAGAAUGUUGGGGUGUUCGGCCGAACUGGGAAGGUCUCUACAAAAUAACAGAAAUCGUUCGUCCUGGAACCUACAUGAUAAAAGAUAUGAGUGGAGUCGUACUCCCACGUCCUUAGAAUGCAGAGCAUUUAAAGAUCUAUUAUCAGUAGAAAGUUUAUUAAUUUUUUAGUAGUAAUAGUAAAGCCCUCCUUAAGCCAUUAUAAAAUUUAGUUGUUACCAAAAGACUAUUCACGGUCAAACUUAUAGCUAUUUAUUAAUAAAGACGUUUUUUCUUUCACAAUCUAUGUUGUUUUUCUUUUUAGUUUUCUGUUCUAACAAGAAAGAAACAUGAAAAGCUAAGAGCAAUUUUCAAGUAAUUUCUCAGAAAAGUUAAAGCAUGCAGGAAAAUUUAAAGUAAUUUUCCUAGCAAAGUUAAAACAAUUUCCUCAAGUAUGCAGGAAAAGUUAAAGCAUGCCGAAAAGAGUUAAAGUAAUUAUUAAAGCAUGUUUCCUAGUGUAGGAAACAAGCAAAAGAAAAGUUAAAGAAAGCACGUUUCCUGGUGCAGGAAACUAGCAAACGAAAAGUUAAAGUAGGAAAAAGUCAAAAAAGAAAAGUUAGGGCAUGGACAAUUAAGGCAAAUUUCAAAGCCUAGUGCAGAAAAGUCAAGAGAAUUUCACGAUUCUAAGGGACUUCCCAAAAGUUAAAGCAUGUUGAGCAAAAUCCUGGUUUAAGAAAGACUUAGUACACGAAAAUUGAGGUGACAAAAAAAAAAAACUUCAUAAGUCCAUUAAAAGAAAAGUGGGAAAUAGAAGUAUCAUAUAAUCCCACUAGCUUGGUACAAAAAAAAAAAAAAAAACAACUUUAUAACUCCAUUACAAGAGAUGGGAAAUAAAAGUAUCAUAUAAUCCCACCAGGUUGAUACAAAAAAAGAGGGGGGGGGGGCAUCAUGCCAUGAUCAGUCCUCGUUUUCAUCAUCUUCUAGGAAGUUAUAGUCAAAGUGAGGAUAAUGACUUUCUAUCAAUGUUUUCACCUUGGCAGCACCCUUCCAAAAUUCCUCAUCAAUAAUGUUGGCAAACUCAGUAGAAGUCUUGUAUUCCUCCAUAGCCGAAGCUUUGGCCGUGGACAUUUAAAAAUUAAGAUGAUUGAGGGAAUUGGACAAAUCUUCAAUCUCAGAUUGGGACUGAGCCCUUAGGUUAUCAUACUCAGUUUUCAAGUUAUCAUAAUUUUCCUUUAGCUGCGCCACACGAGCUUUUUCUUCAGCUACGUUUCCCUCUAGCUCAGCAAUCCGCCUCUAAAAAGCCCGCCCAGAUUCAAUUAGUGUGUUCCUUUCUAACAUCAAACUUUUGAUUUUUUUUUUCUGAAUACUUGGAUGGCACAAGAAAACUAUAGUGAAAUAAAUAAAAAUUUUAAUAGAUGGAACGUACUGGGGCCAAAGUUGGUUGAAAGAAUUAAGAAACGUCUAAGAAGAGUCCUCCCAUGCAAAGCUGGGUAAGCCCUCCACCGUAGGCAAGGUCCCUUGGCUUGAGACUGAUAGGAAAUGAGCAUAAGCAGAUAUGUUGGCAGUAGGAGAAGAGCUGACAAAUUGUGGAUACAUAGCAAUGUUAACAGUCGACAAGGUCUCUUACUGGAGAUGAUUGGGAAUAGCAACCUGGGAAGAUGAUCCUCCAAGAUGAAAGAUAGGCAUGUCUCGUAGCUUUCUACUAAUCUUAAAAAGAUGAAACUUUUCAAUCUUUUUCUUUUUCCGAGCUCUAUCAUUCCCGAAAGACAUGGCUAAAAAAAAAGUUACAUGUUUCUGCGUGAUAAAAAUAUAGAAAAAGAGCAAAAACUAACCUCUAAGAGUAUCUACAAGAUGUGCGGGGGAGAUAAAACCAAAAAUUAACAAAAAACCCGGUUGGGAAAGAUAUAUCCAAGAUCUGUGUUCUAACGGAAUAUUGAGGACACUCAGUAGCAACUCUCUCUCAUUACCAGAAAUAGGAGGAGGUGUAUUCCAAGUAGCUAAAAAAAAAAAAGAUUAGUGAUGCCGCAGUAGUAUAUCAAAAUAGUGCCUAGACAGUUAUCUGGGGGUACAAAAAUAGGUUUGAACCCGACAUUCAGGGUUUAUAUCACUAAAUUCCCCAAACUCUCAGUCUCAACCAUAAAAAAAUCAUGAGUCUUUCGAAGACCCCCCAGAAGAUUUCUUUUGGAUAAUGAAAAGAGGAAGCUUAGACCAAGUGCGCACGUAAUACCAACCCUUAAUAGGAGGACCCUAAUUAGGAUUGAGGAUGGCCAUCAAUUGGUAAAAAAAGUUGAAAUUGUUGGAAAGUAGGGCCAUGGAGGUUUUUUUGUUUCCAAAGGAUGUACAUGUCUAUCAUAGCACACCAUACAAUUGCACUUAAUUGAGCAAGGGCACACUUGAAGUUGAGCACUCAAGAAAAUGAUGAAAAGGAAGUCUCACAACGUGGGUAAAAAAAUCAGGGUGUAUGGUGACAAUGCUGGGAGAAGGAUGGCUAGGUUUAUCAUUUUCCCCAGCCUUUUCUAAGGAAAUGGAACGAGAUAUGCCGUAAGAGACACGGAGGGAUUCAAGUGACAUUUCACCCAUGUGGUUAAUCUCUUCAUCUAUGCUUCACUUUGUAGAGGCAGAAGAGGGACCAGUAGAGAUAAAUGGGGAAAAAUGAAGCUAGGGUAAAGUUUACGGUGAAUGGUUGACUAAUUAUAGACUGAUAAUCAUCUUCCUCUAGAGGAUAUUCACAAAGUUCAGAUUCAGAAAAGUCUGGUGAAUCGAAUGACAUUGUUGAUAAAAAAGAGAGAGAGAGAGAGAGAGAGAGAGAAGGAAAAACAAUGGUAAAUACUCACCAAAAGAGAGUAGACGAGACUUAAAAAAAAAGUUGGUUGUUGAACGAGAGCGAAAAGACCAAUUGAUGGGUAGAAGAGGUGACAACCAAGUAUAAAUAAGCAAGGAAGUAGCUCUUUUGAGCUUGAAUAAUAAAGCCCUAAAAGAGCUAGGGGCAGCUGAUGCCGAAGAGAAAAUGAAGCAUGAAAUCCAUGAAGCAGCAUGGAGCACAAGCAUAGAAAAAGAAAAAAGUCCAAGAACCAGGAACUAGGAACCAGGAACCAAGCAAAAGUGAAAAGUAGAAAAAGACAAAAGUUCAUAACCAAGAACCAAGAACCAAGAACUAGGAGCCAUGAAUCAAGAGAAGUCAAAAGUAAACCAGGAAGCCAACAAAUAAAAGAAAACAUAACCCGCAACAUAUAAGGAAAUAAAGCGUAAUAAAAUUCUAAUUAAUCUAGAAGCUUCGAAACCUACUUUGAGAAGAAAACAAAAAUAGAAUUCAAAUAAAAUUCUAAGUAAGUAGGGGAAGUCGAUAAAAAUUAGGAAUUAAUAAAGACUUAGGAUACCGAAAAUUUAUAUUAUAAAUAGAGAGCUCCAGAGGUGUAGAAAAAGGCAAAAAAAAAAAAGAAAAAUUAGCUAGAGAGUAGGAAGAAAGAAAAACUAUGUUGUAAUCGUUAUUUUAUAGUGAAUUUGCUCUCUUGACUCCAGUGGACGUAGGCCGCGCUGAACCACGUAAAUCUUUGGUGUUUUGCUCUUUAUAUCAUCCCUUUUAUUCAACUCUUCGGUUGACCAGAAAUUAGCAUCAACAGUUAGAGGGAAUGAGAAUUCAGAUAGAAUAAGCUCUCUCCAUGUUUCAAUUCUUCAUUUGAUUAUGUCCUUCAUUCCCCCUGAAGAUGUAGUGAAAACUAGCCUUCUGUCAAAACGGUGGCAAAAGUUAUGGAUUUCUCUGCCUUAUCUUCACUUUCAAGCCUACUAUAGCCAUGCCCAUAUUGAUGAUGAACCUUGGUUUAUUAAUUUUUGCGGAUAAGUUUAUGCACUAUCAUGAUCAUGGCAAAUUAGGUACAAUCAAACUUAGACUCUAUGCCCAUAUACAUGAGAUCAAUCUCUUAUUGCUUCAUGGAUUAGUGCUGCUGUAAUCGCUUGGGGUCCAGGAUCGGCAACUCUGCACUCGAUUGAUGGGGUUUUGAUUACCUUCUUUUUUAUUUAACUGUAAUUCCCUGGAAAACUGGGUGGUUAUAGUAAAUUUAAAUACACGUGUAGUACAUAUAUUAAUUGAUUGUAUUACUUUAAUGUAUUUUAGAAUUUCUCUUAAAACUGAAUGCUUGCUAUUGAAUCCAGCUCAUCUGAGCCAUUGCCUUUUGUUUUCCAAGAUUAAAGAAAAUGCAUCUAGAACAUGUUAUGUUCGCUAACAACUUUACUAGUUGUCUCCUGAAAAGCCCAAGCCUUCAAGAAUUAAUCUUAAUACAUUGUUCACUUGACCAUCAUUCUUCUCAAAGUUAUCAUCAAGAUGGUACUUUUGUUAACUUAAAUAAAGUUGAUAUUCACUGACAAUAUCCUAGAGGCAAAAAAUGCAAGGAAAAUUGGAGAAUCAGUGGUUUAUUUAUAUGGAAUUUGAUCAAAAGGCUUUCUAGCGUCAAGCAUCCAGAGUUAUGGGUAUGUUUUUUUUUUUACCUUUUUUCUUUUCUUUGUUGUAUUAGAUAAUUAACUUAAUUUGUUUUAUACAUGCAUGUUUGGGAACUAAUUUAGGAACCUUUCUAUAUAUCAGUGCAGCUUUUGCCUUUGCUUAUGCUUUUUGCAAACAAAAGGAGAUUUAUUGGAAGAUUUGCCAACAUUCUGCAAUCUCAAGAAAUUGUAUCUAAUAUUUAGUAGGAAGCAAGAGCAAGAUGAAGUCAGAGGCAUGCAUGGCUUGUCCACUCAGUCGCUCUCCAAUUCUUCAAUUCCCGGGCCUCCGCAAUUUCAGUGAUGAACACAGAAAACAAAUGCUACAGCUUCCUUCGUUUGUUGAUUGUCAGCCUCUUAAGUUUAAAACGGAUAAGUACUGCGAAUUUCCGUGAUAUCAAAGGAAAGCCUGCCCAUCAUGAGCUCGUUAGCCUAUUCAGAUGUGAAGAAUAUUGCUGGACUUUUAUUCCUGUUGCAAUUGCAGCAUGGGCUACGAUACCUACACUUGUUGAAAAAAUAGCAUGUCUAUAUACUAUUUUGAGGGCACAUUUUGAGUGGGUCCCACUUAGAGAAAAUGAGAAUUCUUGUGAGGUUCAAAUUCUAUUCCGUUAAUACUUCAAAAAUAUAAUUUUAUUUUCUCAAAAUGGUGUUUGGGUGAAUGAGAAAUUAUCUCUCAAAAUUCACCAUUAAAGUUGAAAUUUGAAAGGAAAUGAGGCUUAUCCCAUGUGGGAAAAAGAAGCCUAGGGAUUAGUGUUUAUAUAUAAACAUUUAACCAUGCAUGAAUAAGAAUUAUAAGGAUAGAGGCUCUCUCCACACGCGCGUGCGCAGGGGGGUGCAAAUCCAAGACCGAUUUGGUUGAACUCGUGUGCGCCCGCACGUCCUGCGUACGCGAAUGUCAGCCCAAAAUCACCCAAGCUUGCAUGGCACGUAUAAUUUCCUUUUUGAAUUUUUUGUGUAACAGUUUCACACCUUUUUGAAUUCAAACGAGUUGUAACAGUUUUACAAUUAUUUCUUGCUGUUAUGCAAUUCAAUUUUUGAAUUGAAUUGUUUAAAUUCAAUGGCUGUUACAGCAAUUUAAUAACAUAAAUUGAAUUCAGAAAUUCAAUACAAAGCAGUUGUUACAUCCUCACGUGACUAUAAAAAGGCACCUCCUCUUCUGUUUUUUGGACACUGAAAAAACCAGCACAAAGCACACUUGUUUUUCCUUCCUCCAUCUUCGUCGUCUGUUUUCUCUGAUUGAGUUCGCUGUUGUGGUUUGCCGGAAUUUCCAACCUGUGCUUAGCCGGAAAUUCGUGCCCAUUGUAUCUUGGAAAACAGUUACCAGCAGACCUAAAGCACUCUAGUAGGUGGUAAAUCUGUUUUAAGGAUACUGCCCUGUGCAGGCCUCGGGUUCCAUUUUAUUUUUCUGUUUCGGUUUCCUUUCUCUUCUGUUUUGCUCUCUGUUUUCAUUUGUCAUUUUCAUUAGCAGGUUUUUGUUGUUUAGGUACUGUAUAAAUUGUUAUCUCACUGUGUUUGUUUUUCUAACAACCUACACGCGACUCGAAAGGUCUCAUGAACAGAAACCAUAUGCUCAUCCUUUAUUUAUAUAUAUAGUCUUUCUUUGACUCGAAUGUCAGUAGAAAACUUUUGUAUGGAUACCUAUUUUAUGGUUUCGCAAACUAUUUUACCAUGUAGUAUAUUUUGGGAUCACAAAGAUACUUAUCCGUUUAAAAAUUCAUUUGAAGAUGAGCGUAAAGGACACAUGAUUCUCAAUUAUCUCGUCAAGAAUUGUAAUGUAUAAUGAGAUGGUCACAUCAUUUGCAUGCAUACAUGCUGACAUGAACUUCAAUAACAUCUACCUAGAAGAUAUAUUCAGGAGCCACCAACUUUUAUCUAUUUCCGACAGACAGAAGCAAUCUGAAAUCUUCUCAGUCCAUUACUAUUUACAACUGCUAUGGAAAGGCACUUGCCUUUUGCAAGCAAACUAAACUCCAAAUAAAAUACUUAAAAGUAGGGGUGGGCAUCGGAUCGGAUUCGGAUUUGAAGGAAAAUCCGAUUGGAUGAAAUAUGUGCGAUCCGAUCGAAUUUGUUUCGGAUCGGAUCAGAUUCGGAUCAAUCCGAAUCAUCCGAUCGGAUUUGCACUGUUAAAAAAAAAAAAAACUAAACGCGAAAACAAGCAAACAACUAAACCUAUUUCACAAGUUCGUCUGACUCAAGUCUGUCAGUCACAGGCUCACAGCCAGCCACAUAAACAACAAACGAUAGAGCAAGCAGCCGAGCAAAAGCAAAACCAGCCUCAUCUUGUCAUCAUCGGUCUUGAACCCAUUAACCCACCGGCGAUAGUCCAACGACCACGCCACUAUCAGCACAGCCUCGUCCGUCUUCAAACUCAGCCGCGGCCGACACCGAUCGACUGGAAUCUAGCCGAAUCCGAGCCGAACCAAGACGAAUCUGAACGUCAAACCCAGUUAAUCGACAGCUGCUGGGAACUGUCGUGGGUUGGGAAUAGUGAACAAAACCCAGUUAGUCAGUUACUUCGCCGAGCAAAAGCAAAACCAACCUCAUCCUGUCAUCCAUCUUGAAUCCAUUAACCCACCGGCAACCCGCGAGUCCAACGACCACGCCACUGUCAGCACAACGUCGUUCGUCUUCAAACCCAGCCGCGGCUGACACCAAUCGACUGGAAUCAAGUCGAAUCCGAGCCAAACCAAGGCGAAUCCGAACGCCAAACCACGUGCAGCUAACAGCUAACAACUAACACCAUUGUCAUUUCUCAAUUUGUUUUCAUUUUCUAUUUCUUUUAAUGGUUAGUAAGUUUUCAUUAAUCAUAAAUUUCAUAAAUUUUUGUGAGAAUUGUCAAAAAGGUCCAAAUCCGAUUUCAAUCCGAAUUAAUCCAAAUCCAAAAUAUAAUCUGAAUUCGAAAUAUAAUCCAAAAUCUAAACUCAUCCGAUCCGAUCCGAAUCCGAGUAAUCCAAAAUUUUCAUCCGAUCCGAAUCUGAUCCGAAUUAUUCGGAUCGGAUUCGGAUCGGAUGAAAAGUCGGAUUGAAUUCGGAUAAAUUUUUUUUCAAUCUGAAUUAUCUGAAAUCCAAUCGGAUUCAUCCGAAUUCGAUCCGAAUCCGAAAUUGCCCACCCCUACUUAAAAGAACAUUAAAAAGCCGAAAUUGCCCACCCCUACUUAAAAGAACAUUAAAAAGAUACCGAAAAGUAUGAAGCAAAUGUGUUAAAAUCGCAUGCUGCUGUCACAAUAACAACAACCAUCUUAUGAACAAUGAACACGACUGCUCACCGUACUCACCUAAUUGUCUAAAAUCUAGAAUCAGCUGUGCAACAUUCAAUCAACAGCAAGCCAUAUCAAUAAAGCUAAUUCUCAAAAGCGUAAAUUAUGAACUUUAGAGGUGUAAACUUUAAGUUCCAUAAUAUUAUAGCUUACUUUCGAAGGGCUAAGAUUUUGUCACGAUCUUAAUUUUUCCUAAGCUAAAUUUAUAUGAGUGAUUGAUAGUUAACAAAUAGAAAUAUAAGAGAAAGUAAGUUCUAAUUAUAUAACUAUCACUAAAUAUACAUGACACAACAUUUUUAAUAAGUUUAGAAAAAUUCAUAUCAGGAGAAAAUUUUACUCCAAUUUUCAGACAUUGUAUUCUUCAAUAGUAUAAAAUGGUAAGCUUUUUUGAAAUUCUUUUUUAGGAAUCGAGUUUAAGCCACCAAAUAUUAAAGGCUUUUUACAAUAUGUAUUAUAAAGUAUAAAUUCAAAAUCUUCACUUAGUGGUUUUUAAAUUACCAUUAUCAUUAUUAUUAUUGUUGUUGUUGUUGCUGAUCAUCUAAGGUCAAAUCUAAUGGAGAUAAUACUAUUAAUUAUACUGAUUUUUAUAUUUUUAUCUAAACGAGUAGUGUAUUGACAUGCCAGUUUGCGCAUAGAAUUUAUAUAAAAUUUUGUAUUCCUAUUAUUGUUGGACUAAAAGUUGAUUUUAACUUUGUCCAUUUAUACUUGUUAGAUAAACUAAAAAAAAGGUAUGAAUCCUUAAUAUAACUUUGUCCAUUUUAAAGCAAUUAAUCCAUUGAAUUAAGUAAAAUUUUCACCAAACAAAAGAGCAACAAUUUUUUGCCUGAACGGUAAAUUAAACAAAAGUAAAACUAAAAUUUGGCAUAUGUAAUUUCAUUAGAAGGGCAUAUUCGGAAUUAUAGGAAAGACUCUCUCAGCUAAGCUAGCGAGCCCCCUUUAGUUACGGGACCUGUCAUUCAUGUUAAUAAACAACCCACCUGUGACAAUAUCCCCUUUGCCAAAGUUUUUGAACUUUCUAACGGUCGAAUUUAUUUGGCUCCACACGUGUCCCGUCAUGAUAAAGCCUCAUGAUAUCUCCCAUUCUCCAGUCUUUACACUGCUAAUCGAUCUCAGCCGCCCGAUUAGUAGACUUGUACGACAUGACAAAAGGUUGUCAACAAUCCAAUGGAUACCUCGUUUCUCCCAAAUUUCAACAUAGAAAUUAAAGAAGCCCAGGAGCCAAGAACUAGAUGUGAAAACUGAAAAAUGGUUUUUCUAGAGCCUUGUCAAUCCUCAACCAAUAUCAAAGACACAAUCUCUCUUUAUUUUAUCUAAUUUUUGGAAGCCAAAGAAAGGAGAAAAGCCUUUCUUUAGGAAUCUUUCAAAAAUGGUCCUCAUGAAGGGGAAAGAUCACUGGGCUUUUCUGGUAAUACCUUUUUCUUGAUCUUAUUUUUGUAGUUUAUAAUCUUUUUCUGAGUUAUAGUGUGAUGGGUUCUUAAGUUUUCCUUUUAAUAUAUAUUUUUUUAUUAACGAAAAUUUCUGUUGUAUUUUAAAAAUAAAAAUUGUGGGGUUCUUUGGUUGGUGACAUUCAGUUCAAGAGAUUGAUCAUUACGAACCUCUGGGCAGAGAAACUGCCCUUUUCAUCUCUAAAUUGAUUUGGCUAUGUUUGGAUGCUGAGAAAUUUAAGGGAAAGAAAGAAAGAAAGAAAUUGGUCUUUCGAAUCUUUGGGUUUCAUCAUUUGCUCACUUGAAGAAUUAGAACAAAUUUGUGUAUAGUCAAUUUUAAUAUUUUCUGUUUUUUAUAAUUCUUACCUUGCUUUUAUUUCGCUAUGAUAAUCAGGAUUAUCUUGCUUUCGGACACGAUUCAUUGUUUUUGUUGUUAUUAUUAUUAUUUUUAAAUAAUUUACUAAUUAACAUGUAGGACGAGAUUGAAGCACCUAUGUGGGUGGAUCUUACCCUAGAAGAAGCUACGUAUAAUAGCCAAGACGUGUGAGUUUCUUUAUGAAUCAUUGCAAUUUGAUAAAACUAUGUUUUCUUCUUUUGAGAAGUUUUAUAUUGAAAUUUAGUUUCAAUAUUAUUGACCGUGCAAUGCAAAUUUUGUUACAUUGCAGAGAUGAUGAGUGGUUCCACUCUAGCCACCUGUAAGCACAUUGUUUCCAAACUCAGUUACUUUUGCUGCUUGACCAUACUAGCUUUGGGUUUCAUGUUGCUGAUGUUACAGAACUCGUGCAUCAUAACUAAAUAUAUGCAAUUUCCAGGUUCCACCAAUGUUCUUCUCGCCAGUUGAAAGCUGCAUUUUGUUGUUCUGGUGAAGGGAGUUGUGAAUCGAACUUUGAGUUAUUGGGACCAUCUUCACCAAAGCUUCCAUCCUCUGUGUCUAGAUCCAGAGGCAAAGACUAUGAAAGCAAGAAAUGGCAAGGGGAGAAUGGUGAUGUUUCAUUAAAUAAGAAACAUUUAGUGGAGGUUUUAAGAGAUAAAUCCAGAGCUGAUGUUGGAACAGUGAAAAAGAUAAAAUCUAAUGCAGGCUUUGUGAAGCCCAAGUCUACGAGUGCAGAUUCAAAAUCUCGUGAGGAAAUAAAACCCAAGUUGAGCUUCAUAAAUUCAAAAGGAGCUUUUAGUUCCAAAAACAGUUCAGUUUCUGAGGGGAGUUCCACUCAAAAUGGUAAAGGAAACUCUUUGAAACCUAUAUUUAGCAGCAGGGGUUUAGAAAGUAGUUCUAGCUCUGCAUUUGAUAAGGAAAAUGAAAGCAAUGCACUUAGCACAGUUACAUCUGAGAGUAGUUUGCGAGGACGGCAAAACACCAUUGAGGUGUCAAGUAGACCGUUUGGUCAUUCUAGAAUGCUUUUAUCUGCAGUUAGGAUUACUCUUAGGAAAAGUUGUGUUACAAGACAAGCAUCAAGGGUGGAAACUAAUAAUGAUACGAAGCAGUCAAUGGUUGGAAUUAAUAUUGAUAGAAGGGAGUCAAGGAUGGAUAUUAAUGUUGAUAGGAGGGAAUCAAGAGAUCGAAAAUCUUCUUCCAGCAAGUCCAGUGUGGGGUCAUCUUCAGUACCCAGUGAUGUUAACAGGUCAGCAUUCAUAUCGACAAGAAAGAAAGAAAAGACCCCUGACAGCAGAAAUGUAGCAAGGAUGACUGUAGCACCAAGUAACCAAGUGAAUAUCUCUAAUGAGUCCAAGGUAUCCGUAGUUCAAAAGAACAAAGGAAACUUCAACUCUAGAAGGAAAAAUAUGAGUAUGAUCACAAAAUCAACUUACAAGGAAACUGCAAAGCUAAAUGUAAGAAUAUGUAUCUAAUGAGGAUAGCCAAGUUCAUUAUUCUUUAUACACAAGCCAACUAAUUUAUUUGUGCAGUAUUUAACAAUAGUUGGUUAAUUCUAUAAUAUCCUGAUUGUUGAGAAUAAGUUUAUAAAUUUUCAUAGAUGCAUAUGUUGGCUACAUAAACCCUAUGAGCAUAAUAAUCGUCUAAAGUUGUGCAAAUUUUGCAGGUACAUUCUCACACUCUUGGUGCCAAAUCUUCACAGCCGCUUAGAGAUAAACAGAACUCUGUUAUUGAUGCAACUAAAACGAGAGGAAAAGAGGGAUCUAGUGGUCUCAACAGAUUGGUGGCUGCGGGGAAAGAGAAUACCAUGCGGAAAAUGUCUAACAAUCAGAAAUGCAGUGGCAGAGAGAAUACUGCUGGAGGUGUUAUAAGGGCUCAGAAUAGGAAACAACAGAAUUUACCACAGAGAGGAGUGACAAGGGUAUUGGUGGGUCAACAGGUACAGAUCUUAACUGUUGAUUAUAUAUUUUAGAUCUUCUCACUCAUGAGUUUCCCUUGAGUUAUUUUAACUUAAUUUUUACUUCUUUGAGUUCUAAGUCAAACACUAUAUCCUGAAAGUUUGAAGUGCAGACGUGCAGUACUGAAUUUUGUUCAUUACAAAAUCUAAAUGAUUGGGAAUAUUAGGAAAAGAGAGAAUUGUCAAUAAACUGCUGUUGAUGGAUUGGAAAUUGAGAAAAUUAUUGAAGAAAUAUGUAUCUCAUUUUCUUAUCUUUUACAAUAGGAUUACAUAAUACAUAUAUAGAUUCUAAACUACAUAACGUGCAAGAGUACGAAAGUAAACAACUAACUGCAGACCAAGAAACUAGAAAACAAACUCUAUCAAAAAACUGAAAUUUUAUCCCUAUCUUUUUUCUUUUCUAUCCCUAUCUUUUUUCCUUAAAAAUAGGAUAGAAAACAUGUGACUUUUCCACACUCCCCCUCAAGCUGGUUCGAAGAUAUCAAUCAUUCCCAGCUUGCUAGUUAGUGACUCAAAGCUUGAUUUAUGAAGUCCUUUAGUAAGAAUAUCGGCUAGCUGCUUUGUUGUUGGAACAAAGGUCAUGCAUAUCAAACCACUUUCUAUUUUCUCCUUGAUAAAAUGACGAUCCACUUCAACAUGUUUAGUUCUGUCAUGUUGAACAGGGUUAUGAGCAAUGUUUAUUGCUGCAUUGUUGUCACAAUACAACUUCAUAGGAACAUCAAUUUUCUCCUUGAUAAAAUGACGAUCCACUUCAACAUGUUUAGUUCUGUCAUGUUGAACAGGGUUAUGAGCAAUGUUUAUUGCUGCCUUGUUGUCACAAUACAACUUCAUAGGAACAUCAAAUAAUCUUCAAUUCUUCAAGUAGCUUCUUUAACCACAAAAGUUCACAAAUACCAUGUGCUACUGCUCUAAAUUCAGCUUCGGCACUGCUUCUUGCAACCACUGAUUGCUUCUUACUCCUCCAAGUUACCAAGUUUCCUCCCACAAAUGUGCAAUAACCUGAAGUUGACCUUCUAUCAAUAACAGAUCCAGCCCAAUCUGCAUCAAUAUAUACUUCAACUUGCAGAUUGUUAUUUUUCUUGAAUAGCAGACCUUUUCCUGGAGUUUUUUUCAGGUACUUGAGAACCUUGUAAACAGCUUCCAAGUGCUCUUUACAUGGAGAGUCAUAAAUUGACUAAUAACACUUACUGCAAAGGCUAUGUCUGGCCUAGUAUGAGACAAGUAUAUCAACUUACCAACCAACCUUUGGUAACUUUCUCUAUCCACUGAUUUUCCUUCAAUUGCAUAGGAGUGUCUCCAAGUUUGCAUCCCAACAUGCCAGUUUCCUUGAGCAAGUCUAAAGUAUAUUUCCUUUGAGAAACAAAAAUGCCUUUACUGGAUCUUGCAAUUUCCAUGCCCAAAAAGUAUCUUAAGGGUCCAAGAUCCUUCAUCUCAAAUUCUCUAACAAGAACCUUCUUGAGAUUUUUCAUUUCUAUUACAUUGCUUCCAGUCAAGAUGAUAUCGUCUACAUAUACAAUGACGAUCACAACACUACCAUCAGUGAAGUGUUUAAAAAACAUUGUAUGAUCUGCUUGACUCUGUAAAUAUCCAAAGCUACGAACAAAUUUGGUAAAUCUGUCAAACCAAGCUCGAGGAGAUUGUUUUAAGCCUUAAAGUGAUCUCUUCAGCUUGCACACUUUCUCAAAACCUGGUGGUAGAUCCAUAUAUACCUCCUCUUCAAGCUCUCCAUUAAGGAACGCAUUCUUAACAUCUAACUGUUGUAGUUGCCAUCCUAGGCUUGCUGCAAGAGACAACAAAACCCGAAUGGAAUUCAUCUUUGCCACGGGAGCUUGGUAGUCAAUGCCAUAUGUUUGUGUAAAACCUUUCGCGACGAGCCUAGCUUUGUACCGUUCAAGUGACCCAUCUGCUCUGUAUUUAACUGUAAAAAUCUACUUGCAACCCACUGGUUUUUUUCCUUCUGGUAACUUGACUAGUUCCCAAGUUUUGUUUUUUUCUAGAGCUCUCAUCUCUACAUAUACAACAUCUCUCCAUUCUGGAAUAGAAAGAGCAUCCUGUACAGAUUUUGGAAUUGCUAUAACAGAUAGGUUAGCUGUAAAAGCUCUAAAAAAUGGAGAUAAUCUAUGAUAUGACACAUACUUAGACAUUGGAUGAAGAGUACAAGACCUAGUUCCUUUCCGUUGUGCAAUUGGAACAUCUAGAUCAUUUGUAGUUUCUAAAACAGAUUCUGAAAUAGGAUUAGAAUGAAUGUUACUUGCAAGUUCCAAGUUGCAUGUGUUUAGAUCCGAGUCUUGGCAGUGAGGAGAGGAAUGAUGAUUUGACCUUUUCGAAUUCCGUCGUGUGUAGACUUGAGGCUCUGGUUCUGGAACUCUCUCUAAUGAUUUUUCAUUAUUCACAAUUGAUGGCAUUGUGGAAGGAACAGGAGGUACACAAUACAUAAUAGGCAUUGGAAGAGGUACACAAUUCCCAAAAAUGAUCUUCCUGAGUAUGAUCCUCCCCCUGAAGAGAAGUUUUGGGAAAGAAAGACCUAUUUUCAAAAAAUGUAACAUCCAUUGUGACAAUGGAUCAUAACAUUUGUAGCUUUUUUUAGUAGGAGAAUAGCCAAGAAAUACACAUUUUAAAGCCCUAGGAUCAAGUUUGCUCCUGUUCUGUUUAUGAACGUGAACAAAACCCAAAAAUCUUUGGUGGUAAAGAUGUGAAAACCUUAGUGGAGGGAUAGAAUUUUGUGAAAACAUUUAAUGGAGACUGAAAAUUAAAGAUUCGGGUAGGCAUACGAUUUAUCAAGUAUGAUGCUGUGAGAAUGGCUUCACCCUAAAACUGUUUUGACACUCUAUUUGUGAACAUAAGAGAGCGUGCAACUUCUAAUAGGUGUCGAUUUUUCCGUUCAGCAACACCAUUUUGCUGAGGAGUAUCUACACAAGAGGAUUGGUGCACAAUGCCAUUUUUCAUGAAAUAAUGACCAAGGGCAGUAGCAAAAUAUUCUCUCCUAUUAUCAGUUCUAAAGACUUGGAUUUUUGCUUGAAAUUGUGUUUGCAUCAUGAUAUGAAAGGUUUUAAAAACUGUUGCAGUUUCUGAUUUUUCUUUAAGCAAGUACACCCAACAACACGAGUGUGGUCAUCAAUAAAAGUUAUGAACCAUUUAGCCCCCGAAAUGUUUGUAACACGAGAGGGUCCCCAAAUAUCACUGUGUAUAAGAGAAAAAAGGUGCAGAUUUUUUAUACGACUAUGAAGGAAAAGAUGCACGAUGAUGUUUGGACAAUACACAAAUUUCACACUGAAACAAAGAAGGAUUUUUAUUCUUGAACAGUAAAGGAAACAAAUGUUGUAAAUAAGAAAAACUAGGAUGACCUAAUCGGAGAUGCCACAACAUUAUUUCAUCUUCAAUAGAGAAAGUUAGUUCAUUAUUUGCUGCCUGAGCUUCUCCACACAAACUAACAUCCUCCUCGAAGUAGUACAAACCAUCUACCUCUCAAGCACUGCCAAUCUUCUUCCCCGAACACAGGUCCUGAAAUUCACAAUAGGAAGGAGAGAAUUUAUCAACGCAAUAAAGAUCCUUGGUAAUUUUGCUAACAGAUAAAAGAUUACAAGACAAAUUAGGAACAUGAAGAACAUAUGUUAACACCAAAUUUGUGGAGAUAGGAAUAUAUCCUUUUCCAGCUACAGAAGAUAGUGAACCAUCAGCAAUUUUAAUUUUUUGACUACCAGAACAUGGAAUAUAUGAAGAAAAUAAUUUAGAAUAGCUGGUCAUAUGAUCGAUUGCUCCUGAAUCGAUGAUCCAUGGAUCUUGUUUCUCAUAAACAACUCCUAAAGCUGUGAAAUUAUUACCUUUCUAGGCUAAAGAACUAAAGGAUGAAGGAUUUGGGAGAGAUUGUGACUGAUUUAGAAACUUGUACAGUUGCUCUAACUGCUCUUUAGUGAAGAGUUGAGAUUCGGUUUCUCCAGUGUUGGUUGUUGGCUGAUUCUCCCCAACAAUUUGGAAACCACGACUAUGUUUACCAGAGAAUUUAUUGUUUUUCAGAUUUUGAGGUUUUCCAUGAAGCUUCUAACAUGCAUCUCUGGUAUGUCUUGGCUUGUGGCAAUAAUCACACCAAACUCUGUCCUUCUCAUCACUCUUCUUCAGGUUUUUUGUUCCACCAACCAGUGGAGCUUCUAGUGUAACAGAGAAUUUAUUGUUUUUCAGAUUUUGAGGUUUUCCAUGAAGCUUCUAACAUGCAUCUCUAGUAUGUCUUGGCUUGUGGCAAUAAUCACACCAAACUCUGUCCUUCUCAUCACUCUUCUUCAGGUUUUUUGUUCCACCAACCAGUGGAGCUUCUAGUGUAACAGAGAUCAAGGCUGAGUUCUCUGCUGAAGAACCUCCCAUCAUCACAUUCUUUCUACUUUCCUCUCUUCUUACAUAAGAAAACACUUCCCUGGUAGAAGGAAGAGCCUUGCCAAGUACUCGCCCACGGACUUCAUCAAGGUCUGAACUCAAACCUGCUAAGAAUUCAAAUACACGCUCUUUUUCUAACAUCUUGUAUUUAGCACUAUCAGCAACACAUUCCCACUCGCCAUCAUAGUACUGAUCUAACUCUUGCCAUAAGCCCUUCAAAAUAUUGUAGUAUUUAGUCACUCCUUGACUACCUUGUUUGGUUUCUCGAAUUCUGGUUUUUAGAUCAUAAAUCUGAGCAUAAUUUCCCAAAUCAGAAUAGGUCUCGGUAACAGCAUCCCACAAAUCUUUUGCUGUUGGCAAAAACAAGUAAGUUUGACCUAUUUCUUGUUCCAUUGAAUUCACUAACCAUGACAUGACCAUUAUUGAGUUGUCAGCAUCCUAAGUUUGAAACUUUGGGUCUUCUUCAGUUGGUUCUUUAAUUGAACCAGUAAGGUAACCAAUCUUCCCUUUACCUCUGAUAAACAUCUUCACAGAUUGGGACCACUGAAGAAAAUUUUGACCAUUCAAUUUAUGGGUUGUGAUCUGAAGUGAUGGACUAUCAUUAGAAACAUAACUUGAUAGUUGUAGAUGCCGUUGCAACUGCUUUGAAGAUAACUCAGAAGUUUCUUGGUCUCUAUACUUUGACAUUGGUAUUCAAAUAGAAUUGAAAACUAAACCCAAGAAUCAAAGAGCGGCUCUGAUACCAUGAGAAAAUUAUUGAAGAAAUAUGUAUCUCAUUUUCUUAUCUUUUACAAUAGGAUUACAUAAUACAUAUAUAGAUUCUAAACUACAUAACGUGCAAGAGUAGGAAAGUAAACAACUAACUGCAGACCAAGAAACUAGGAAACAAACUCUAUCAAAAAACUGAAAUUAUAUCCCUAUCUUUUUUCUUUUCUAUCCCUAUCUUUUUUCCUUAAAAAUAGGAUAGAAAACAUGUGACUUUUCCACAGAAAUUCUAUAAGUGAUUGUAAUUGUUUCUUUCUUUCCUUUUUAGAUUGCAAUGUGAAAUAAAUGUAAACAAUUUAUUUUCUUCUCUUUUUUUAAAGUAGGAUGUGAUAUCUUGAAAAGGUAGAUUUUCUUAUUUGAAUAAAAUAUUGAAAACCUUCUUAAGAUUUUCGUAACCUUAAGAUUUGCUUUUGUGUAACCUUCACACACAAACACACUUACACACUAUUUUUUAUUAUGUUUCGGGAGAUAUUCUAUGUCCAUACAAAGGUUGAAUGCAAUUUUCAUCGGUGAUAUUAGCAUAUAUUGAAAUAGAUUUAUGUGAUAAACUUUUGAAGUAGCUUGUUCUGAAUUUUGAUAUUGCAUCGAAUCUAAAUUGUGGUGCAUUAAUUUAUGAGCAGGGAAAAAUCUGUGAUCGAAGUAAAGGAAAAACAUUGGUUUGUGUGGAUCAGAGUGUCCACCUAAGAUGAGGAAGCCCAGCAACAAAAUAUGUCUGUAAAUAGAAUGUAAUCUCUUUUUUGACACGGAGUGAUUCGGAAGUUUAAGUAUGCCCACAUUUUCCCCUUUUCAUGUGGCAGAAACUGGUUCUUUUUUCAUCAUUUUCCUAACUUGCAAGUUAGGCACAUCUAACUUUUUUUUUCUUCAUUUUUCUUCUCUUAGGGUCAACUAGAUAGGCUUAGAACUUCACUCUACUUAGAUUGUUUUGAUAUAGUUCGAAAUCAAGCUUGCUGCCUUAAAGCAUAAUUUUAGAUUGUUUUAAAUUAGUUUGAUCUCAAGUGUGGUGUUAUAAGCAUAAUUUAGAAAUUUACCAGGUUUAGUUACAUCCCAAGCUUGGUCAUAAGCCGUCCUUUUGUCUUCAAAUCUCAUGCUUUCUUAUAAGAACGUCACUCACAUAUGAUGUAGUUUUGCUUUUUCGUUUUCCAUAUUACGUUUCCAAGACCAGCAACAUGCGUGCAUCCAAGUUAUCAUCCAUAAUAACCCUUUGCACAUCAAUCUUUAGAUGUACCUUUCCUAUAACUGCAGGGUUCGGUUCAAGAGGUCUCAUAAAUCAACAAUGUAAUCUACUAUGCGAGUAGAGCAUGAUUCUUGAUUUAAAAUGUGAGGUGCCUUCAUCAAACGUUCAUUCAUUUCAAAUUAAGGGGGUAAGUCUAGGAUUGGAUAAAGCACUAUGCAUAUCUUCAUUGCAAAAAUGGCAUUUGUGAACAACAAUACAACUUUUACGUCCUACUUAUUGCUCAUUUUCGUAGUUCUUCUGUGUUCCUUGUUCAAUAUACAGAUAAUCAUAUUGUUUUUAACGGGAAAACCAACCGAAAUGGCUCCUUGGUAAGGCGAGACGAAAACAGGACGUGAUGCAGGAUCUGCGCAAGGGCAAGUAAACUUGACUGCUACCUAUCUUCUUAAGGCACCAUAAUUUCUCGUUACCUACAAAAUGGGAACAACUUUGUUGGGUAGAGCUACAAAAAGACAGAUAAGCAGUAAAAAUUUUCUAAACUAAAAAGAAAGGCGAAUUUUGGUCAUUAAUUAUCUGGCAAGCAGUUAUGAUAAUUGGACUUUUGUGAAACCAAGUCGUCUAAUAGAACUGCAAGUUUUAGAAUAUGAGUCCUCGGUCCUGUAAAUCAUAUAAAACCAAGGACCUGUCUAUGGUACAGAUUCUGUAACAAACAUCUCCCGUCAUCCCACCAUCCGAUUUUCUAUUGUUUAGUUUCUCAGUCCACGUCCAACCACAUCCAACGGCUGAUGCUGCAGUCUGUAGCUUACAGAAUCUGUAAGCUAGUCAAGUCCUAAAACCAAACCCAAAAUUUGCCCGUGAUGUGUGUUGCUAUGUCAGAACAGGCGCUUGGAAACUAAAAAGUGGACAUAUGUCAGAACAGGCACAGGUCAUUGUCAAAUCUAUAAUGGGUGAGAUAUGGAGGCAACACUUCAAUCAUCCUUGGAUCUCUAACCACCAGAGAGCCAAUGAUAAGAUGCAUGACAAAUAGCGACAAAAGAAUGAAAAUAUGAAAGAGGACAAAGACCUAUCCCUUAGUGUGGAUGGUACAUCAGUAUUAUGCCUUCAAAGUAAACUGCUCUUUUAAUUCAUUUCAAAAUGUACGUUUGCAUUUCUGAAGUCACAAUAUUAAUUAAUGACAGUGAAUCAUUUUCACAAGGUUGUUAGAAAUAAUAGGACCGCGGUCUAAGUUCAUAGCACUCUUUCUUUAUAAUUAUAUGUUUCUUGAAGCCAAAGUUGAAAGAAGUGAUGAAGAAUUGACUUUUAAGAAUGAUGAGAGCAGUACCUCAAGAAGACAUUUAAAAAAUGAAAAAACUGAAUUAAAUUCCCAGGGAAAAAUGACUAUUUGGAUAAAAUAAAAGUUGGGGAAAAGAUACCAACCCGAGUUUGAGGCUUGUUAUAUCUGUUUGUAGCAUCUUCUUCGUCAUCGUCGUCGUCAUCUCUGUUCAUUAGCAAUCUUUGAAGAGAAGAGUUAUCUGAUUUCCUUCCCCGCUUAGAGGGUGUUGCACCUCUACCUUUUCCCUUUGGCACGGGUCUUUUACUUCCUUUACUGAGAAGGCUUGCAUCAUCCUCCUUCAAAAGAUUAACAAAUUGGUUUCAAUCCAAAAAAUUAAUACAUUUAGAUGUGAUUAAGUUUCCAAUGUAUACAUAAAAUGUCAGCAAGGGCAAGGGAAAGCAAAACAAAAGAAAAUAAACUGCAAAGUUAGGAGAUGAGUAGUGUUACUAACAUCAAAGUCAAUAAAUAUACAUGCCUUAAUGGUUACCAAAAAUUAAAGUAUUAAAAAAGUUAUUGAAUAGGUAAUGAGUUAUAUAAGCAAUGUAUUCUGAGCAUUCAUCAGGUCUUGUGUGAUGGUAACUUCAGAUUGAGAGAAGAAAACAAUAAAACGAAAAAAAAUAAACCAAUGCACCAAUUUAAAUAAUCAAGAAAGUUCAUACCGAACUGUCAUCAACCUCAUUUACUUCAUACUUCUCCGCUUCUUCACUAGAGGCAGAAGCUAUGUUAUCUUCCUCAUCAACAAGACUUUGGACUGCUGCUUUUGCAGCAACUGAUGCUGAUCUGCAGAAAAUUACAGGAGUUAGCCAGUGAUGCAGACAUACGCACACAUAAAUGAGUAUGCUUUAUUACCAGGUUUGCUUUGGUUUCAUUCAAAGAAACUCCCUAAUUAUGAACUUAGUAAGUAUAUCGUACUUUACAGGGUAAAAAAAAUAAAACAUAAAAGUAAAUAUAUUGUAAGCACUUAUUGCUUUGUAUACAACUUUCAUUGUUCCUGAGGACAAGAUCAAUGAAUUGUAAUCAGGACCAAAAUUAACCUCUGAGAUUGACGGAACCCAAGACUUGCAUCAAGAGUUGUCUGCUUCAAGUUAUUAGCCCCUCUGCCUCUACCUCUACCUCUUCCCCUUCCUCUUGUAGAAGUUUUACUUUUAUCAGAUUCCAAAGCACCACGAGAUGACCUAGAAGCUGCUGAUGACCAUUUCCGACCUCUAGUGGCAGACUUUGUGACAGAUAUCUGUGUAGUGUCUUCAUCAUCGCUGAAGGAAAUAGCAGUUCCAACUCCGGCAGCAGUUUUACUCCUUAUAUCCUAUACAAAAUAGAAAAUAUGAUUUUACACAACAUAUGAAAAUCGCUAACUCUCUGAGAGGGAAACUAAAGUUAAAUUUACCUCAAAAGAUGCUGCAUUGGAUGUAGACUGUGGGGCAUCCUUGGAGUGAUUAGAUCUUUCCUUAAGACGUUCCUGCAAAGGAUAUAUCAUCAGCAAUGUAUGAUAUCAAUAAAUGGCAAGGAAGGCAGAGGUUCCAUCUUCCAUAUAUCCCCAUUUGAUUGCCAAAUAUAUUACGCUUGCAUAAUCAGAAUAGAGGAAAUUUAAAAAACAGGUGGUUAUAUGGCAGAUUUUAUUCAUAUUAUGAGGCAGAUCCUCACUGACAUAAUCCUAGGAGAACACAUUGGGGAAAAAAAAAAUGCACAUAAUAGCAAUCGGCACUGUCCCAAGAUGCCUAAUAGGUAGCAAUAGGGGUGGGCAUAAACCCACAACCCAUGGGUUUACCCAAACCCAAACCAAAUAAAAUGGUUUGGGUUGGAUAAAUCAUGAAAUGGGUUAAAUUUGGGUUUUUAUGGAAGAAACCAUUUUAUAAUGGUUUGGGUAUGGUUUACCCAUGGGUCAUGAACAAAUUCAAGAUAACAUAUUAAUGAAAAAUAAAUUAAACAAAAUAAAAUGCUAAAUCAAUAUUUUAAUAAUAAUUUUUUACUAAAAUUAUUAUUAUAUAAUAAUUAUACUACUAAUAAUUAUUAUUAUAUAGUAAUUAUACUACUACUAAUUAUUAUUAUAUAAUAAUAAUAGAAGUGCUGCACAGGGCAAAUACAUAUGCAAUUGGUUGUACAGUACACUAUUAUAUAACAAUUUUUUACGGUCUCAACUUGAGUUAAAAGACUAAAUUAACAUUUUAAUAAAUUACUCAAACAAUAUUUUUAUGAAAUCCUCUAAUAUAAUUUUAUGAUCCUAUUUGUAUUGUAACUUACUAAAAUUAAAAAUGUAAUUGAUUAUAAGAUUUUAUCAAAUAAAAUAUGAUUCUAUUGUUAUUUUUUAAUUAAAUUUAAACCUAAUUAGAUUUCAUGUCUAAUUUUCUUACUGCAUUUAAAAUUUUGGCGCUUUUUCUAAUUACAAUAUAUUUUAGAUUUAUUUCUUGGAAGAUUUAAUUUAUAAAAUUUAAUAAUUUAAUUUUGAUGGAUUGUUUUGAUACUUGAGUUGAGAUAUCUUAUCUUACUUUAAUUUGUAUUGACAUUGUUAAAAUUUAUGUUGUAAUAUGGUUAAUAUUUAAGAACAAAGUUAUUGUAAAAUCCAUUAUUCAUAAUUUUUAUCCAAUACAUUUUUUCAUAUUUUAUUAUUAAUUUAAUAAUUAAUAUUAAUUAAUAAUUAUUAUAAUUUGAUAUAGUUAAAUUUAUUAAAAUAAAAAAUAUUUUAAUUAUAAAAUUCAAACCAAACCCAAAUGGGUUGGUUUGAGUUAGGUUAAAAAUAUUUGGGUUGGUUUGGGUUGAACCCAAAUUUUUAUGGUUUGGUUUGAAUUGACUUAAAACCCAACCCAAACCAACCCAUGCCCACCCCUACCGUAGCAACUUAAAAGCAUGCAUGCCCAAUGUUAUGUUCUGGGUGAAGAUAAAGUACUAGGGCUACAUUUUGACAACAUUAAACAUCACUAGCUUUGUAAUUCAUGGUAACCAGCUUAUUGAAGAAAAAGGUAUUCAAAGAAAAAAGAAUUCUUGCCUCCAAGCUCUCCCCAACUUUAAGAAUUAUAUCUUCCUCUUCGAAUUUUGCAGUGUCAGAAUCCUUGGCAAUUUUAUGCUGCAGAAGCAAAAUGAAAGUUAAACAAGAGUAAGCCAUCGUGAGAAAAAGAAAUGCACAUCCACAUAUGAUAACAUCCUUAAAAGAAUAUAAAAUCAUAUAAAUGCAGUGAACCUAAAAUCAAUCUAGAUCUUAUGCAAUAUUCUUGCUGCAGUUCAGAAGAUAAUAUGAAGUACUUACACGUGUUUCUUGAAGAUUGUAUUGCACACAAGAAUAAAAGGCCAAUCUGUCAUCCUUGUUGACAAAAUUGUGCAAUGCAACAUCCAAAUCAUUCACUGGAAUAAUCUCCAUUUUCUGCAAUGCAGAAUUUAAAACGAGGAGCCAGGAUUAAAAGAAGAUUUAAUUCAAUCUUUUCUUCCCCAACCCCCCCCCCCCAAAAAAAAAAAACGAAAUUACAUGUGGAUACCUGAAUUUAGUGACAGAACUUCUAACCACACUUAUGAAACUAAAAAUCGCACCUUAAGGGACACUUUGAUUUAGUUAAUAUCCUAAAUAAAAAUAUUGACAUUGUCGGUAAAAAUCUUCAAUGAAGAUUCCUGAUGAUCUUAUGAUAUAUAUAUCGUAUAGCACUACGUAUAAAAGUUUAAAAAAAUGAAAAGUUCCAAUUGAGACAAUAUAUAUCAUACUUAUCAAGGCAGUGGAAAAUAAACGUGAAGUACCAGAUUGUUUUCAGCAACUAAAGCCUCAAUGUUUUGCUGAUUUAGUUCUUCUGGGCGAAGCCUUUCAAAAUCAUCAAUUUUAGCUACAAUGCAACAGAAAAACUAUAUUCAUCAGCUUCUAAUUUCAAUAUCAUAUAAUCAUAGACAAUAAUUAAAAUCAGGAAAAAAGAAAACAUUGAAUUGAGCACAUGCAUAUUUCAGCGAAAAAGAUAAAGACAUAACAUCUUAUUAUUAAAGAGCAAAAGCAGGCAUGUGACAUAUGAGAAACACUACAUCCCAAUGUCAAAGUGAUCUCUUAGCAAUAAAAAUUUUAGUUACCCAAUAAUGACCCAAAAAAUGGAAUUAACAGUUAAAGAAGUGAUGAAAGUAAAACAAUAUAUGUAGAACAACAUCACUAUCUUAUACACAGAACCCUCCACUCCAAGAAGAGUACUAGCAUUGAACAGCUUAACUUACCUUCAGCUUUACUCUUUUUAGAACUCUUGGAGAAUAUUAGAAUGUCUUGUGGAUUUGCAACCUGCAUUUUUAUCACCAGAAAGUAUACUACGAUAAUUAUGCAGUUACUGCUGAUCAAAGAUGAGUAAUAGCAAGAGAUACCUUUCCCACAUAUUUCUGCCCAAAUCUUUGAGGAUUUAUUGUCAUGAACCCCGAGUAAUCCACCUGCCAAAAUCAAUCAGACAAGUUAAAUGAACUCUCUACUGGAGGAGGGGCAAUUUUGCUUCCUGAGUAUCUGGUGAAGGAGAGGUUGAGCGAAGGAAAAAAAAUGUUAAUACCCUAAUGGCAUGUUUGGUUUGAAGAAAUGAAAGGAGAGAAGAGGAGAGGAAAGAAGGAGAGGCAAAAGAAUAAGGGGAAGAGAGAUGAAUUACAUGUCAAACCAAACAAUGAAAUUGAGAUUGACCCUCUUUUUCUCUCAUUUUCUUCCCCCCUCUCUCCUUUCCAUUCCUCUCUUCACCUUUCCUCUCAUUUCUUCUAACCAAAUAUGGGCUUAGAAGCCAUUAUGCUUCCUGAAAUAUAUAUAGAAGACACCAUGAACCUUAAGGAAAAUGUCAAGAUGGAUAAGAGGUCCUAAAAGAAAAAAAUUAAAAGAGAUCUGAAUAGCAUUUCAGGAAGACAAUCUUAAAACUGCCAACGGAUAUAAGAUAACAAAGUCAGCUAAGAUAGUUCAGCCCAUGGGCAAAGACCGACAAAUAAAAUAGCAUGUAAGACAUGUCUCAUUCAAGCCAUUAUUGCCAUCAAUAGAGAGGCAGCACUGCCAAAAGGUUCAAGGAAAAUAUGGCUACAAAUAAAACUCAAAACAUACCUAUCCCAGAAGUUGAUAUGGUUCGUUACAAUAAUAUAAGUUGAAGAAUUGAAAUGACUUAAAUACGUUGUAGAAACACAUGAGACUGGCAACGACACAUAAUAGGAAGACCUAGUCAAGAGGUUUAAAGUAGGAGCAGGAUUCUCAUAACUAAAAUCACCUUCCAUGGUGGUAUCAUUGUUAGAUCUAGGCAGAAAUCACCUUAAUUCGCACUAAUGGAAGCUUGAGCUCCGAUCUGUUAACUGUCUUUUUGCUAGAUCUCUCUAUCAGAUUUCUGACCUGAAAAAGAACGAAGUUAUUAUUAUAGAGUUGACAGAUACAAAUCACUGAACUGUCAUGAAGAUUACCAUAAUAAAUAAAUAAAGAAGACAUCAUAAACCCAUAAAGUCCAAACAACCCAUACCACUUUGUCCAAAUGUUCAAGAAUUGAGUUUUGAUCAUCAGGAUCUAUGUCAGCUUCAUCCUUUAAUAUGAUCUGCAUCAAGAACAUUAAAUAAGCCACACAAAAUUUCCCAAAAGACAAAGGAAAAUUACACAAUUCACCUCUGUAUACUCAAAUGGCCUCACGGAAGUCAAAGGUAUCUUGGUUGGACGAUACUGAUUUUCCUAUAUAGCAAUGCAACAGCAUCAACAAAGGGAAAACGAAAGGAAGGGUGAUUCUGCUUGUUAAAAAGAAAAAUUAAAGGUUUCUCCCUGUAAAAACCUUAAUUUCUAAGAGAAGAACAUGCUUCGGCUUUGAUUCCCCUUCAAUCAGUGACGUUGCCACUGAAGAACCUGGCUGCGUGAGAUGAAAUCCCAUCCCUGGUACUUCCUUUAUGAAUUCAAAAUCCACUUCCAAUUUAGUCGGAUGCUACAUAAAAUAUUAUUGUGAAGCUAAGAAAUGUACAGUGUUAAAGGAACCUGUGGGUCAAUUAGACAUUCAUGUUCAUGCCCCCAAACAACAAAGUCGAGGAACCUUGGUAAAAAGUGCUCAUUUAUUGCAUUUUUUGGAUUUGUCUUCACUCUGCAGGCAACAAUAGCAUGCCAAAAUUCCAAAUAUGAAUAAUGACAUUUUGUGUUUUACAGUAUAAACUUUAAUUUCCAAAGGUUCUUGCACAGACACACAACCUGUUCUGAUGCAGUACCAGAAUGUUGAACCAGUCUGACACUUGACACUCUUCUUGAGCUUCAGGCCGCAUCCAUUGUACAGCAUGUGGUGUCUUGAGAAAUCAAUGAUAAAUAUUAAAUCAGAUAAAUAAGAAUCUAAGUUAAACAACUGUGCAGUAAAUGGACAACAAAGAGUACCUGAAACAUUCUAUUAAGACGCUCAUCCCUAAUGUUCCCAAGACCGUAGAGAGCUACAGCUGUUGAACCCUGCAAUAUAUGAGUAAUGAACAAUGCUAAAAAGACGGUCAUUAUUAUCUAUAUGUUUGAUUCUCUUAAAUUUUUAUCAGCGCACCUUCCUGAUAAGAAUAGGGUAGACAGUGAUCUCACCAACACCAGAACCCCCAAGAACCAUUUUCCCAAAAUAGUUCACAAGAUUGCAUGCUGAAAGAAUAUCAACAGCGGAAAGGUUGUCCUGUCACCAUUGACUACAGGUAAGAAAAGUUUCACAGAGAAAAUAACACGCGAUAAUAUCCUCUACCCCUAACAAAUGGAAAAGGUAUUGUAAUUAAAAUGUGUAUUUGUUUUGCAAUUGAUAGCCAGCCAGUUUAUUCUCAGUUAUGUCAUUUGAUACUCAUUAAAAUAAUAAUGGUUCCAUCAUGCUCAAAAAUUGUCUUGCUGCGAAGGCUAUAUCCUAAUGCCACCAAAGACUAUACCACUAGUUCAUUUUCCUAAGUAGCACAACCAUUAAGAUGGCAUUCAAGUUUCAUGAUUGUCUGAGCAAAUGAUGUAUAAAGCACAUGUCAAACGAUUUUAAAAAUGAAAAAUAUAGCAUGCCAAGGUAAAGUCCAUACCACUCCAGCAGGAUCAUCAUGGUUUCCAUGAAUACUGAAUACUGGCAAGCCAACAUUGAAAUGAGGAUCUUCAUAAUUUACAUGACCAAAUCUGUCAAGAAUACCAUGUACCACGAACUGAAUAAUAUUUUCCAAUAUACAUAUGAUUUUGUAAUAAGUAGAUGCAUACGUGUACAUGUGAGUGUUCAUCUCUCAGUCAAUGAAUAGACAUGAUGCAACUAUAAUAAGCUUAAUUAUAUGGUUUUGUAAGCAAAGAAAAUUUUUAAUACCAAAAUAUUUAAAGGAAAACUCAGGCUAAUUAACCAAUUUAACAUAGAUGGAAGAAGAAAAACAUACAAACUCAGAAUUAGAAUAUUAUCCCAAGGUAGAUAGUUUUAUAAAUAACCUCAAAUUAUUAGCACAAUCAAAAUUCAAGUUUAUUGAUCAAGUCAUGAGUAAGUACACCAGGAAAUACACUCAGAAUACCUCUGUUCUCUGUCUCUCUGUGUGUGUGAGUGGACAGAGAGAGAGAGAGACCAGAAUUAAAGAUCUAAUAUAAACGGUAGUAAGCUUAAAUGCGCAAUAGGUCAUUACUUAUUUUGAAAAUUUACAGCCUGGUCGCUAACAACUUGAAACUGCACUGGUCGAUCAUUUAGGCAAUGGCGACGAAGAAUCUCAAUGGCCUUCACUAGUGUUGACCUAGAUGGCUUGUUCUCGUGAAAAAGAUCUCCACCAAGGAGUACAAAGUCCACCUGUGCCAGACAGAAGUAGGUUUCUAGUGAAGUUUGAACAUUUAGUGAGACCAAAAACAAAAGCUAAAAAGCAAAUACCCUUUCUCUGAGCUCUCCAAUACAGAAUAAUGUUAAAUUGGAAAUGAAAGAACAUUAAAUGAAGACAGAUGUAUGAAAAAAUGCUACAAAUAUCAAUAGUGACAAACUGGAAAGCAUAUAUGCAACACUAGAAAAACAACCAUGGGAAAUAAUUGAUUAUCACCUCUUUUUGCUCGGCUAUUGAGCAUAUCUCCUCAAAAGCUUCGAACGAAUCAUGACGCCGUAUUUCAUCCUUCUCCAUGUAACCCAGAUGGCAAUCCGUAGCAACAAGUAUACGAAGUGUAUUGGCAAUAUCCUCCCUGCAAAUUCCUUUAAUCAUAAAUUACAAACACAUAUUUUUGCCAAUCAACUACUUAGCUUAACUUAAACAAAACACCUGAUCGUUCUUCAUCUUUUCCUUUUACGCUAAUUAACAUAAAAAUAAAUUAAUAGUAAGGACAACAUUUCUUUGUUUUACCUGGGCUGUUGUCCCAUACUGACAAACUCUGCACCAAUUCAAACCUAAAAGAAUUCACAUGUUAAUUAAAUCCAUUAAUAAAUUAUACUAGAAAAAUAAUUGUUCAGCAAAAAAUUAAAAACUUCGACUUUAUAAUUAAAGCAGAAAUUUUAAAAAGUCUAAAGCUGAAAAAUGUUAAACCCUAGCCUGCAAGAGUAACUAAAGUUUCAUAUGCGUUUCCAGUGCAAACAGAGUGCGGUACCUUGUUGUUUCGAUUGGACAAAACGCUGCGUUUUGAUAGUGAAAAGUAGAAGCUGAGUUGUGAAUGAGUGUUGAUUGUUGGGGAAGAGAUGGACUUUGGUGGCGGGGAAUUUUGAAGUACGAGCUCAGCAGAUAAAAAUGGGGAACAUUCAUUGACCGGACUUUUCAUUCGUGCCCCUAAACUGUUGGUUAUUUGUGUCUCUACCAUGUGUCAUUUUACAAUAAUUGUCUUGAGUCCCUUAAAUUCUUUUUCCCAAUUUGUUUGAGAAAUUUAUUAGUAUUUCAAUUUAUACUCUUUUAUCAAUUUAAUAUUUUAUCACGUUGAUAAACUAUAUAAUUAAAUAUAUAAAAAUUGUAAGUAAUGUUGUUACUAUUAAGGGAAAAUGCAUGUUAAGAAAUUUCAUCUAAAGUGAUGGAAAUUGGUUAAAUAAAUAACUUCUUGAAAUAAGUAACGUCUUGAAAUAUGAAAUUUCUAAUCCAAUGAUUAAACGACACAAAUGUAUAACGGAAUCUCUUCAAAUUAUGCCAUGAUUGUUUGCGUCAUCUCUAUUAUCUCGUAUAAUAUUUAGUUUUUGUUCCCAAAUGUAAUUUUUUCUAAUUUCUUUUUUUGAAAUUUUUCAAACGAAUUUUAAUUCGUUAUUAGCUCAGCACUUCUAUGAAAAAUUCCAUUCUUUAUAACAAAAGUAAUAAUAUAGCCAUAAAUUUUUGUAUAAAUUUAUUUUGUACAAACUGAUGUAACGUUAAUUUAUUGGUUGAAUUAAAUAUCUCUUGGCCCACAUAAUUUAUUUCUAUUAUUUUAUAUUUUCAUUCAACCAAUGAUGUCACAUCAGUUUGUACAAAAUAAAUAAAUUUGUAGAAGAGUUUGUAACUGUAUCAUCACUCUAAUAACAAUAUAUAACAAAUGAUGAAUAAAGAAAUAAAAUGGGCCGUAAUUAUGGACAUCGGAUGAUGAUUCACGUGGGUGCUCUUAGUAAACAAUGGGCCAUUGGGUAAUAAUUUUGAGACUAGACAACCCAGGGAAUUUUUAUAUGGGCUUCACAACAAGGCUACUGUAAAUGGGCUGAUAAUAGAAUAAUAGAUGAGUCCCCCUUCUCUCUUAUGUAACCCCAUAUUUAAAUGAAAUUUAAAGAAAAAAAUAUAUUAUUUUCUUCUACAUUUCAUUUUAUACCAAAAUAACCCUUCAUACUAUUUUUUUCAUCUUCUUGAUUUAUUAUAUUUGCUAGUUACAAUAAGCAUAAACUUCAUGGGCCGUGCUUUUGGCAUGUCUCAAAUUAUCUUAUGUUUCUAUAGCUCGUUAUGUUUGUGACUGAAUUAUGUCACAAAUCUUUCUUGCAAGGAUGCACGAUAUAUAAUUUGUUGUACUCUUAAGCAUUGGUCAAUUGACAUCUUCUCUUCCUUCUUUUAACUUUUAUUAUUUUUAAAAAGUAAAUGGGUGGAUAAAGCACAAAUCAACAUUUUAAACUCUUUAUUUCCUUCAAGAUUUAAAUCCGAGUGAUUGGUUAAAUAAAAUUAUUUAAAAACUAUUCGGCCAAACUCCUAGAGCAUCAUCUUCUCUUUUUAAUAAUCAUUAAUAGACAUCUUUUAUUUUAUUUUAUUUUAUUUAUGAGAAUAUGCUCAAUUCUAAAAUAGCAUGAUGGUCUUCUUUGUGCAAUCUUUUAUUCUACGUCGACCAAAUUUUCCUUCGCACGUACGUUUGUUUGAGCCCUUAAAAAAAUUUUUCUUUUUCUUUUUUUAUCAUAAUGAUUUUGACUGAAGUCAUAAAUUAUUGGCACUGAAACUGUUUUUAAGAUCUGAAAGAGUAGAUUGAGAUUCUUUUGGUUGGGAUGUCAUAGUAAGAAAAUUAUUGCUUUUGCAUUGAUGAAUUUACUUUAGUUAUGGCCUAUUAAGCAAAAAUUAAAAAGGUACGAGGAUUAACCUACUUAUAUAAACAAUGAUUCUUUUGAGUAGAAGAUCAUUUUUCCCCUUUACCUGUAUGAUGGCUGUUCAUCAAUUUUUGGCACAUUAAAGUCCUAUUUGGUACCGUAGUUAGUUAUGCUAUAGUUUUUAAAUUACAGUACUAAAAUAUUUGAUAAACACUUAAUGAUGCAAUUUAGAUUGAUGGUGCAAUUUAGAAGAUAAAUUGAUUUUGUCUCAAACUUGCAUGAUAAAAUACCUAUAAAUCUUUACUAUUUUUUAUCAAAAUUUUUAUUUUAAAAUUCAUAUCUACCACGUACUAUUAAAUUUUAUUUUAUAUAUAUAUAUAUAUAUAUAUAUACACACACACAAUAGCUGUAACUUUUAAGUAACAACACUUUGAAAUCAAUUAUUUGUUUCGACUUAAUAAUAAUCACCAAAAAGCACCCUUCUUUCUUGUUUACUUGUUUUUCUACUUAUUUAUUUAUUUAUUUUUUAUUCAUCAUUCAUGUCAUGAGCAUCUUGUAUUUGUAAUAUGCAAGAGUACUUUGUCCCAAAAAUAAAAAUGAAUAACUUGUAGCGAUUCACCAUAACAAGAUACAAGUUUUUCAAGUGAUUUUGCUAUUAUAGCAUGGCCGAGAUUGCGUAUAAAUAAAAAAGAAAAUUUGCCUCCGAUACCACAAGAAAUGAUCCAACGCCCUCACUCAAUAAUCUUUGAAAAAAUAUAAUAUAAACAAAAAAAAAAAAAAAUUGAAACCCCAAGAGGCACAUGGGAAGGGAAACUAGUGACAAAUUAAAUGUGACCCCACUUCAUGGGAGCCCAAAACCAAAACAUUCGACAUUAUUAGUGGUUCGACGAUUGACUUACCCAUGCAAUUGCCGUAUUCAUGCAAAAAAAUAAAUUACUGGCUACCGGCCUAUGUAAUGUGGCUAUGUUAGAUAACACGUUGAUUGAUGGUUGAUUGUCGGUGUCUUGGUAUCCAAUGCCCAAAAAAGGGGGAAAAAAAGAAAUUACUCACUGUAAAAAUUUUGUUUUUCAGUAAUUCUUUUAUUAGGAUGGCUCUCCAAAAACUUAGAGCUAUCUCUAAAAAAAUUCUUUAAAUUUUACUUUUCAAAUAUUAAUUUGCUUACUGAUGUGACAAAUAAGUGGAUGAAAAAAUACAUUCUUCUCCAAAAGACUUAUCAAAUAAGAAUAAGUUAAUAUUAUUUUAAUCAAAAUUUUCUCACUAUCAACAGGGGCGGACCCAAGAUUUAUUAUUAUCCCGGACUAAAUUUUAAAAUUUAUAUUUUGAAGCAAAUAUAAAAAUUUAUAAGUAGAAAGAAGUACAUUAAAUAAGGGGAACACUAAGAAUUCUAUCCCCAUAAAUAUGUACCAUAAACAAAAAUAAUUAUAAAAAAAGAGUAGAAAACAAAAUACAGUUUAAAUAUCAAAGCACUAUUUUUCAGUUAUAGAAUCUGACAUUGCAACCUAUAAUAACUUGUAAUUAUAUAAGGAUUAAGAAAUUAAUUAAGAAUUCUAAACUACAAUAUAUUAAUAUAUGUAAUUACAAUCAAUUAAAAAUUACAAGUAAAACUUUUACGUUUGAAAUCAAGUACUAACUUACCAGGCUUAAUAAAUUAAACAAUUAAAAUUUAUUCAUCCAUUCAAAUUAUAAAAGUAUUAUUAGUUAAAAGUUUUAAUAAUAAUCUAAAUUCAAUUCAGCAAAAAACUACUUAGAUGUAGUUGUUUCUUUAUCAGGUGCUCUAACUCUUUUUAAAGAACUAGAUGUUGAUAAUCCUUCUAUCAAAAGCUCCUUAAAAUAUUCAAAUUUUAUUUUUUAACUUGUCCUCUUAGUUAAUGGAACUAAAAAAUAAAGUCUGAAAAUUCAUAUAAAAAAUUUAUGAAAAUGUUGAUAAUUGUUACUAUAUGUUGCUUUUAUAAGUAUUUUUAAUACCAUUGAUUAUGUUAUAUUACAUUGACACACUUUUUUUUAAUUAGAAGUUUUUUAAAAUAAAUUAAAGCAGUAAUAAAAUUUUUAGCUCCCUAAUAUUUACAAUCUAUUCAAUAAAUAUAUAAUUUAAUCAUUUUAUAAAAUAAGUCACUAAUUUCAAUUGAAAAUAAUAUAAUUGAAUUAGGGACACAUUUGAAAAUAAAAUAAAAACUCUAUUGUUAUAUGAAAUUGAUGAAAACAUAAGGGUAAUUGAGUUAGAGACAUAUUUGAAUAUAAAAUAAAAACUCUAUUGUUAUUAGGGAUGGCAAAAUAACCCGGACCCGGCCCGGACCCGGACAAACCCGGAUAAUCUGGGCCGGGUUGAACCCGUACCGGAGGGUAAAAAAAUCCGGAUCCGGAAUGAAUUUUAAUAACCCGGAUUAAUCCAGGUCCGGGUCCGGGUUUGGGGUAACCCAUAAAUUCGGAACCCGGACCCGGAUUCAUUUUUUUUAUAUUAUUUUUAUUAGUUAAUAUAAAUAGAAACAUAAAAAAAAAACCUUAAAAAAUCACAAUUCAUUUUUUUCUUUCAUUCUUUCUAGUUUCUAUCACAAAUCGGGAUUACAUAAGAAAAAAUGAAAAACCCUAGCUGUGCCGCGGCUGCCGCCUCCUGCUGUCCAGCAGGCAAGUCAAACAACCAUCGCCUGGGUUCGUCACCGUCGCAAGGUCGGGUUCGCCAUCGUCGCAAGGUCAGGUUCGCGGCGUUCGCCACUGUCAAAAGCUUGGGUUCCCCACCGUCGCAACUCACAACUCGUUUGGUUCACCACCGUCACAUGCUUGCAACACUGCAGUUCCUCUAUUCAUCAUCAUUAGCUCCUCUAUUCGUUUGAUUCACCACACACUUGCGUAUUUGCGGUUUUAUAAUUAAAUUAUUUACAGUCAUCAUACUUUGCUCACUUUACUUACCAUAUAUAAUACUUGAUUAUUUCAAUAAUAUCUCGCUUUAGUUGCAUAUUUAAUACUUAAUUAAUUUCAAGACUCAUAUCAUCAUGUUUUUUUUUUCUUUUCAAUGAUGCUGUCAAAUGAAAUGAUCUGAUAAAGCCUUGAGAAAUGCCAUGGGAUUGGAGAUGGUGGUUGUGGAUUGACCACUUAAGUGACUUUUUUUUUCCUUUUUCCUCAAAUUUGAAGCUUAGUGCUAACCCACCGAAGAGAGAAAAAUGGAUGAUUCUGUACCCAUGCCAUAAUAUUCACCAUUUGAAUUGCUUUCUGGAGUUUUCUGGAGUUAGUUUUGAGUUAUUGAUCCGGGUUCAAAACCCGGAAUCCGGGAACCCGGAUUUUUCCGAGUUGAACCCGAUCCGGAACCGCAUGAGAAAAAGCCGGGUUUUAAUCCGGGUCCGGAACCGAGAAGGCUAAACCCGGACCCGGACCCGGAUUUUGCCAUCCCUAAUUGUUAGACUAAAUUGAAGAAAUCAUAAGGUUAAUGAAUUAGGGACAUAUAUGAAACAAAAUAAAAAUUCUAUUAUUUUACUAAAUUAAUAAAAACAUAAGGGAUAUAAACAAUUUUUUUCUAGACUAGCCCGAUCUAGCCCACGCAUAGAUCCGCCUCUAACUAUCAAAUUGAAUUGCUGUUAUGUUUUUGAAAGAAAACAUAAAUAAUAAUUAUUGCAGUCUUAUCUUUUCAAUAAAUAAUAAUAAAAUAUUAAUAGAAGAGAAAGAAACUCACUCGGUAAUAUUAAAGAUUAAGAAAUAAAUCUUAUUUGAAAAAUCUAAAUUAACGUGUCUUUUGAAGUGUUUAAUAUUAAUAUAACUCUUCAAAUAAAAAGUAGAAUUUUAUUUGAAAAGUCUUUUGGAGAUGCUCUAAGUAUUAGUAUCUCAUAAUUAAUUAUUUUUGUUUGUUAUCAACUACUAUUUCUAUUUCUUGUCUCUUUUGAGAAAUUAUUUUUUGAUAGUGGAGCAUAAGAGAAUAAAAGAAUUUUUUAUGGUUAAUUUUGAGCCAAUGAUCAAAGGAUGCGUGUUGAUGAUGAGAAAGAUAUGUGAAGGAAACAUCAAGCAAGUAGCAUCACUGGGCUCUAGGUGGCUCCCUCGGCUACGUAAAUAAUCUCGAGGAAGGAACGCAAUUCAAGGACUACGAGUAAGAUACAAAAAAACAAAAGACCAAAGCGAACAACACUAAGGCCUACGUAGGAUACCCUAUGAUUUGCUUUACCAUUUUCCAAGGUCAAUCUUCCUUAGUCCACCAUUAAGACCCCAAAGGUCUGAUAGGAUCUUUAAUAAGAAUCCGACAGUAUUUUUAGUAAGAAUCGCCCGACACAAAGAAAGCUCAGGAGUCACUAAUAGGCGUCACCACCUUAGAAGGAGGGACUCAUAGAUGAAGGGACCUUAGGUUGUGACUCAAGCUUAUCUGACACUCUCCAGUCGCUAUCAAACGGAACAGUAGUCCUUAGAGGAUAAAUAGAUGUGUCACUUUAGGAAGUUUAGGAGGCUCUGACUCUUAGACAGACUAGAACAUACCAUAUAGAGAGGCCUACAUUGUUCUUAGUUAAAAAAGAUCCUUUAAUGAGAAUUUACCACGUGUCGCACGAGAGAAAUUCAAAAGACUUUAAAUAUUUGAACUUUAACUUAAAAUUACGUAAAUGCCCCUAUAUAAGGAGAGCCAUAGCCAACCAGGUCCUACCAUGUGUCUUAAAGGACUAAGGAUGUUUUUAGUUGCCUAACUAUGUAAACCAAGCUUGAUGCUAAUAAUGGGCUUCUUAAAGGAUUCAUCUAUCUGCUUUCUUUUCCUUAUUUAGUCUCUCCAAACCAUAGGUCGUUUACAUGUACCACUUCUCUAAAAACUCUUCAUCUUUUCCAUUCCCAGAGCUCUCACAACUCAACACCACACACUAUACAAGUUCCUAUCUCCACUACUCUUCUCUCCACUAAGAGAUUGUCUUCCUCACUUUUUAUAUCAAUCUCAUCUUUUUAAGAGGCUAUCGCUACUUAUAAGCUUCUCUAUGGUUGUAACAAUACAAUCAACAUCCUACUAUCUGUUAGCCUAUAUGGCUAUAGACAUUGAUUUUAAUGAUAACAAACCACAUGUGUUGAUUAAACAAAGAUAUAUGAAUUGUGCUUUUAUAAUAAGAAAUGAUGUUAUGGAAUUAAAGUGUUUUGGACUAAAAUGAAAGUAUUUUAAAACCUUUGAUAUUGUUUUAAAAUUUCAGAUUUGGACCUAUUUGAAAAUAUUUAAAUAUUUUGGAUCAUUCUAUAAUUUCACAUAGUUUGGGUGAAAUCAUAAUUUCAGAAAGUUUUGGGAUUGACAAAGCAUUAUUUAGAAAUUCUGAAAUUGAACUUAUUUGAAAGCUUUCAUAACGUUUUGGGUCAUAAUAUAGUGUUAUAAAAUUUUGGGGUCAAACGGUAAUUUUAGAAAAUAUUUCACUGUAGCAGUCAUUGUAGCAAGCGGCUAACCGGAUAUGGUAAGCGGCAAUUCAGAUUUUGGGCAGUAAGAUUCUGGAGCAUAAACGACUAUCCGGAUAUCGUAAGCGGCAUGCUGGAUGUUCUGAAAUUUAAUUUUUUAUUGUAACGGUAACAUAAAAGCGGCUAACCGGAUUCCGAAAGCGGCAAGCCGGUUAUCAUAAAAAAACACAUAACGGCUAGUUUUUUGGCUCAAACUCUAUAAACUCAAAUCCAAUUCAUUUUCAAGUUCACGAGCAAGCAUAAACAAAAAGCACACGACAUAUCUUGAGCUCUCAAUUCGCAAAUCAUAAAAUAUUAAAUCAUCUCUUGUUCUUCAUUUUGAAUAUCUACUCUUUGAGUGAGUUUUGUUGUAACUUUCAUUUCUUCAUCUUAAUUGUAAGUGUUUGAGUGUGUGAGACACUUGAGUGAAGAGAUUGGGAGAUAAUCUAUUUGUUGUAAAUGUUCAUUGACACCUUGAAGUCAAUUGUAAACGUUUGAAGCCUUGGAAAGGCUCGGAUAGUGAAAUUCUCAAGCUUGGAUCCCUUGGAGACGUGGACAUAUGCGGGGAUUGCCGAACCACGUAAAACUUCGUGUGUUUGUUUCUCUUCUCCCUUACUCAUUUGUUAUUGUACUUUUAUUGAACUUAUUGCUUUCGAAUUUAUUAAGGCGUUAGAUUGGAUUGUUGUGUGGCUUUGUUAGGAUAAUUUUUAAAAUACCAAUUCACCCCCCUCUUGGGUUGCACACUUAUAUUUUAUUUGGUAUCAGAGUAAGGUGCUCUUGUUUAGACUUAACCGUCUAGAGCUAAAGAUCAAUGGCAACUCAAAAUGAUUCCACAUUUAAGGAAGGACAGCCCACCACUAGACCACCAUAUUUUGAUGGAAACGAUUACCCGUAUUGGAAAACUAGGAUGAGAAUUUACUUGCAAGCUUUAGAUUACGAAAUUUGGGAAAUUGUUAAUGAUGAUCCUUUCAUGCCUUUGACUAAAAAUGAAGUCGGGGAAGAUAUUCCAAAACCUUCAUUGGAAUGGAAUGAAUUCGAAAAGAGAAAAACUUCUCUAAAUUCCAAGGCUAUGAAUGCCUUGUUUUGUGCAGUAGAUAAGAAAGAGUUUCAUAGAGUGUCUAAUUGCGAAAGUGCUAAUGAAAUUUGGCACAAACUUGAAGUUGUUUAUGAAAGCACGAAUCAAGUGAAAGAAUCUAAAAUAAGUAGGUACACUCGACAAUAUGAAUUGUUCCAAAUGGAACAAAAUGAGAGUGUAUACUCUAUGUAUACUAGAUUUACGGACAUAGUGAACACUUUAGGAGUCCUAGGAAAGACAUUUUCAAAUAGCGAGAAAGUUAAGAAAAUCAUUAGGUCGUUACCUAAGGAAUGGAGACCAAAAAGGACUGCCAUUAAGGAAGCCAAAGAUUUAAAUGUAUUACAUAUUGAUGAUUUAAUUGGUUCUCUCAUUUCAUAUGAAGAAUAUUUGGCAGCAGAAAAAUGACAUGAGGAAAAGAAGAAAAGCAUUGCUCUCAAAGCCUCAAAACGUGAUAGUGAUGAGGAAAGCGAGAUGGAUGAUGAUGAGUUGGCUAUGUUGGCUAGAAGAUUCAGAAAAUUCUACAAGAAGAAUAACGAGCAAAGAAAGUUUAGAGGUCAUAAAAACAAAAAGGAGAAGAAAGAGCCAAUUACUUGCUAUGAAUGCAAGAAGCCCGGACACAUUCGACCGGAGUAUCCUUUCCUCAAAAAAUUCAAGAAGAAAGCUAUGGUGGCCACGUGGGAUGAUAGUGAUGAGUAAACAAGCGAUGAUGAAGAGCAACAAGAGAUGACUAAUCUAGCUCUCAUGGCCUUUGGGGAAGAAUCAUGUAAUGAAGUUGAUGAGGUAAGUGAUCUUCCUACAUAUGAUGAAUUACAUGAUGCCUUUAAGGAUUUGCAUGAUAAAUUGAUGAAGAUUGGUAAAAAGAAUAUAUGUCUUAAAAAUAAAAUGAUAGAGCUUAAAAAUGAAAAUGAAUCAUUUAGUGCAAAGAUUACAUGCCUAGAAUUAGAGAAUAAAACAUUGCUUGAUAGAGUUGCAUUAUUUGAGAAUUCUAACACUCCACAUGAGCAUUUAGAGUCACACGUGAAUGAUUUGAAAAAUAAAAAUGAAAAUGAAAUACUUAUAAAGAAGAGCAAUGGACUAAAUGAGAUUGUGCUAAAAUUCACAAAUGGGCAAAAGAUGUUGGAUAACUUGCUAAACUCACAAAAAUGUGUAUUUGACAAAGGAGGCAUUGGUUAUAAGCCAAAUUUGAAACAAAAAUAUUACAAGAGUUAUUUUGUGAAGAAUACAUCUAUUGACAAUCAAAUUAUAUGUCAUUAUUGUAAUCAAGAUGGUCAUAUAAAAAAUAGAUGUCCAAUGAAGAGAAAUGCAUAUUAUGGUAUGAAAUGUGUUUAGGUUCCGAAAGGAACCAUUGCUAACUCUCAAGGACCCAAAAAGAUUAGGGUACCAAAAACUUGAGAUUUUCUCUACAGGGCUUGAAGAAUAAGAAGAAUAAGUGGUACUUGGAUAGUGGUUGUUCAAGACACAUGACAAGGAAUUAUUCUUAGUUUUCAAGUUUUACUAAGAUCGAAAAUGGUGGAGAUGUAUCGUUUGGAGAUAAUUCAAAAGGAAAAAUCAUUGGCAUUGGAAAUGUCGGUAAUGUAUCCUCUACUCUCAUUGAAAAUGUGUGUUUGGUUGAAAACUUAAAACACAACUUGCUUAGUAUUAGUCAAUUAUGUGAUAAAGGAUAUAGAGUUAUCUUUGAUGAAUCAAAAUGUGUUAUUGAGAAUGCAUGUGAUGAGAAAGUUUUGUUUGUAGAAAAUAAAUAUGUUAAUGUCUAUACCAUUAAUAUAGAUUGUGCACCGACAAAUGAUAAAUGUUUCUCCGCAUUACAUGAUGAUGGUUGGUUGGGGCAUAGAAGAUUAGGUCAUGCAAGCAUGGAUUUGAUUUCAAAAAUCGUGAAAAAUGAUUUGGUUAAAGGUCUUCCAAAAAUCAGUUUUCAAAAAGAUAGAAUUUGUGAAGCUUGCCAAUUUGGAAAACAAAUCAAAACUUCCUUCAAAAGCAAGAAUCAUGUCUCUACUUCAAAACCACUUCAAUUACUUCACAUAGAUCUGUUUGGACCUUCUAGAUAUGCUAGUUUAAGUGGCAAAUUUUAUGUAUUUGUAAUUGUAGAUGAUUAUUCUAGAUACACAUGGGUAUUGUUCUUAGCUAAUAAGAAUGAUGCCAUUGAUGCAUUUAGAAUUUUCUGUAAAAAGGUUCAAAAUGAAAAAGGUUAUUCUAUUACUUGUAUUAGAAGUGAUCAUGGUGGAGAAUUUGAAAAUCAAACAUUUGAAAAUUUUUGUAAUGACUUUGGCAUUGAGCAUCAAUUUUCAUCACCUAAGACUCCACAAUAAAAUGGAGUUGUAGAGAGAAAGAAUAGGUCUAUUCAAGAAAUGGCUAGGACCAUAUUGAAUGAAAAUUCUUUGCCUAAGUAUUUUUGGGCCGAAGCCGUCAACACCGCUUGUUAUGUUUUGAAUCGUGUGUUGAUUAGACAUAAUCUUAAUAAAACUCCAUAUGAGCUUUGGAAAGAUAGAAAACCCAACAUUGACUAUUUUAAAGUCUUUGGAUGCAAAUGUUUUGUUUUGAACACAAAAGAUAAUCUUGAUAAAUUUGAUCCCAAAUCUGAUGUUGGUGUUUUUCUUGGUUAUUCAAACUCAAGCAAACCUUAUAGAGUUUAUAAUAAAAGAACUUUAGUUGUGGAAGAAUCUAUGCAUGUUACAUUUGAUGAGUGUAAUCUCUCAUCUACGGAGAAAGUUGUUGUUGAUGAUAAUGCAGAAGAAGAACAACGAGAAGAAGCAUCAAUUGACAACCAAAAAGAUACACCACAUGGAAUUCAAGAGGAACAUCAUGAAGAAACAAAUGCAGAGCAAAAUGAAGGUACUUCUCAAACACUCCCCAAGGAGUGGAGGUAUGUUUCUUCUCACCCUAAGAAUGUAAUUUUAAGAGAUCCCUCACAAGGUGUUACAACUAGAUCAUCUCUUAGGAACACAUGUGAGCAUGCUGCAUUUUUGCGGAUGCGGAAAAUGAUGAAUCUUGGAUUAUGACAAUGCAAGAGGAGUUGAAUCAAUUUGAGAGAAACAAUGUGUGGGAAUUAGUUUCUAAUCCAGAACAUCAAUCCAUUAUUGGCACUAAAUGGGUAUUUAGAAACAAAAUGGAUGAAUCUUGUGUGGUUGUAAGAAAUAAAGCUAGAUUAGUGGCUUAAGGUUACAACCAAGAAGAAUGAAUUGAUUUUGAUGAAACAUUUGCACCUGUAGCUAGGUUAGAAUCCAUUAGGAUGUUGUUAGCAUAUGCAUGUCAUAAGGAUUUUAUUUUAUAUCAAAUGGAUGUCAAGAGUACUUUCUUAAAUGGUUAUAUUAUGGAGGAAGUUUAUGUGAAACAACCUCCUGGUUUUGAAAAUAAAAAAUUUUCAGAUCAUGUGUAUAAGUUAUCUAAGGUUUUGUAUGGACUAAAAUAAGCACAUAGAGCUUGGUAUGAUAGGCUUAAAAACUUCUUGUUAGAUAACGAUUUUUUUAUGGGAAAAACGGACACAACUUUAUUUGUUAAGCAUAAGAACCAAGAUAUACUUAUUGUUCAAAUUUAUGUUGAUGAUAUUAUUUUUGGUUCUACUAAUGAGUUGUUGUGUAAAGAAUUUUCAUCGUGUAUGAGCAAAGAAUUUGAGAUGAAUAUGAUGGGAGAGUUGAAGUACUUCAUUGGACUCCAAAUCAAACAAAACGAGGAAGGAAUUUUCAUAAAUCAAGCCAAGUGUGUGAAAGAUCUACUCAAAAGAUUUGGCUAUGAUAAUAGAACGGCAAAAAGCACUCUAAUGAGUACUACCAUCAAGCUAGACAAAGAUGAGAAAGGUAAUGAAGUUGAUAUCAAGACAUAUCGAGGUAUGAUCGGAUCCUUACUCUAUUUGACUGCUAGUAGGCCUGAUAUUAUGUUUAGUGUAUGCUUGUGUGCUAGAUUUCAAUCUUGUCCUAAAGAGUCACACAUGCUUGUUGUCAAACGAAUUUUUCGAUAUUUGAAUGGCACCAUUAAUCUUGGCCUUUGGUAUCCUAGGGGAACUCAUAUUGACUUAUCUUGCUAUUCGAAUGCCGAUUUUACCGGAUAUAAGGUUGAUAGAAAAAGUACUAGUGGAACAUGUCACUUCCUAGGCCAUUCACUUGUCUCUUGGUUUAGUAAGAAACAAAACUCGGUUGCGCUUUCAACCACCGAGGCAGAAUAUAUUGCCGCAGGUAGUUAUUGUGCACAAAUUCUUUGGAUGAAACAAACUCUUAGAAAUUAUGGUAGUAAACUUGAUCAAAUACAUAUCUUGUGUGACAAUACUAGUGUUAUAAAUCUAUCCAAGAAUCUCAUUCAACAUUCUAGGACUAAGCAUAUAGAAAUUAGGUAUCACUUCCUUAGAGAUCAUGUUAAAAAAAGAGAUGUUGUGAUUAAAUUUGUUUCUACUGAAAAUCAACUUGCGGAUAUCUUUACAAAACCUCUUAGUGAAGAGCAUUUUAUAAAGAUAAGACAUGAGCUUGGAAUGAUGAAUGUUGCAUCUUGAAUUAUGAUUUGUUGAUUAAGUUAAUAUGUUUGUUAUUGUAUGCAUUUAUGGUUCAUGCAUUGAAUGGCUUAUUGAAAAGUUUUAAAUCUAAAAAUAAUUUAAAAUUGAUCAAAUUUUAAGCCAAAAAUAAAUUGGUGUAUAUAAUACAAGUAUAAGAGCUUGCCAAAAUUCAAUUAGAGACAAAAAGAUUUCCAAGUCUAAACCGGUAUACCACUUCCUCUCAACCGGAAAACCGCUUUCUUAUUGAUUCCUCUCGGGACAAAUUCUGGAUAACUGGAUUUAGCAAACCGGUAAGCUGGAUUAGCUUUGGUUGCUCUCGGGGUCAACAUUCGGAUAACCGGAUUUAUCAAACUGGUAAGCCGGAUUUGCCUUGUAAGAUUUCUGGACCAAAACCGGUCAACCGGUUAUAAAAAUCGGAAAGUCGAAUGUAUUCUGGAGCUCACUGGACGCAAACCGGUCAUCCGGUUAUUCUAUCCGGAAAAUCGGAUUAGCUAAGCUUUCAUUCUACCUCAAAACCGAACAGUCGGUUCUUCAAACCGGUAAGCCGAAUGCGUUUUGAACAAAUCUGGAACUAUCCGGAAAACCAGAUAAAGCAACCGGUAAGCCGUUUUCGGCUUUCAUGAUUCUGGACACUAAUCGGCUAAUCGGUUAGUGAAAUCCGGCAAGCCGGAUUCGAAGCUUUAUAAGCUGUUCAUCUUCCUCUCUCUUUUUUGGCAAACCGGUUGUGCUCUCUCUCUAAAAACCAUUUCUUCCUCUCUCGUUUUUUCUCCAAAAUCCAUCUUUUCCACUCGUUUUUUAUGAAAAUCAAUCCAUGAAUCCUAAUCCCCAUCAGUUUUUAUGCCUAAAAUCAUCAUUCAAAUCCAUUUUCAACCUCAAAAUCACUAGAUCCGAAAUCAAAUCUAGGGUUUAAUCGAAUUUUUCUCUCUCUAAAAUUCUUCCUCUCAAGUCGUUUUUGAACCAAAUUGCUUAUCAAAAUCUCUUUCAAUCCUCAUUAUCUUCCUUAUCUUUUCUCAUUUUCUCUUCAAAUCAAUCAAAAUCACAAUGUCAAGCUCACGGCCGGUUCAAAGAAAAGGUAAAUAAUCGGUUCAACAAACCAACCGGUCACAGCAAGCAGGGGGCACCUCCAAUCAAUCCAAUUUUGAGUCCACACACUUUCAGAACAAGAAACAUUUAGUCAAACGGUUUCAACAAAGCUUCAGCACUCGUGAGGUACUCAAUACGUUUUAUGUUUUACCAGAUUGGAUUAAUACUCUCAAUAUUAGCCAUAGAAACUUAUUUCAAUUGUUAGGAGAUGUUGGUUGGAUUGAUGCACUUAUGAUUGAGGAGAAUCUUUAUCCCGACUUGGUGAAAAUGUUUUACUCGAGUAAUCACCAAUGUUGGAGGAGUUAUGAUUGAUUUUGAUGUUUCCCUGUUAAACUCUAUCCUAGGAUCAUAUGAUUUUGGCCUAGAAAUUUAUUCGCCUAGGAAAUCUCGUAAACUUGAUAGUUAUGUUCAUAUUGACGUCGUUCGUAAUAUUUGUCGGCGUAAUGAUCUUUCUGUUGAAGAUUGUACCAUUCAUUUCUGCACUCAGUGUCUUUGUCUUUAAACUCGCAUUUUGGCUCUGUUUUAUUCAGUCCAUUGUUCUUCCUAGAUCAGAACAUUUGGAUGAGGUUUCCCACAUGGACAUUGCUUUGAUUGAUUGUAUUCUUAGACAUCAUCCGGUUAACUUAGGCUAUACCAUCAUCCAAACCAUGUUGACCAUACCUGCCUUGAUUACCCGCUCCCUUCUAUAUGGUCACUUCAUUACCCGAAUCCUUAAAUAUUUUGAUGUACCGAUUCAAGAACCGCCGUGUAGACCGUCUAAGGGUAUUGGGGAUGACGUUAUAUUUGGCUUAGGCUUUGAGUGGAAAAAUGGCACUUGGGUCAAAUUCACUGAAAAUAAGUUUACCUUCCUUGCUCCAAGUGAUGAUCGGCCACUUAAUGCUGUGGUUCCAGCCGAUCAGCUACCCAUUUUCUCACUCUCAUUUCGGGGGCAGCGUAGACACCGAGAUCCUCCCAUGAUUGCUUCAGCUCCUGGUACUUCUGCAUCCGCUUCAUCACCUCCACAGCCUCCUACCUCUGAAGAGGUUACUCUUCAGCAGCUUAUGGAUGAAGUGCGGACACUCUCUGUGUGGCAGACUGAGUUUCAGCAGCAGCAGCAGCUCAUUCAUGGACAACGCCUCCUUUUUUAGCACUUUGGCAUUCCAUAUAUGUAUCCUCCUCCAUCAUCACCUCAGUAGUCUCUUAUGCUCGUAUUUGGACACACCUAAAUAUCAUUUACUGCUUUAUGUCCUUUUAUUUUCGACUAUAUGGAUGGUUAUUAUGCUUUUGGAUUAUAGAAAUUCUAUUGAUUCCGUUCAGCGAAAGGUAAGGUGUCCUUAUAUCACGAGUUUUAUACCCCAUGGAUCAUCUAGGUCAAUCUUGUAUUUGUUUUGAUUGUUUGUUAUGGAUUAUAUGGAUUUCCUUAUGCUUAUGGAUAUUUUUGAACUAAUGUGCUUGUAUUGCGACUUUGAUGAUUGAUAGGGUGAGCUUUUAUUCUUUUUGAUGAUGUAGGGGGAGAAUAAUCUAAUAUGUGUUAUAAAAAGUGUUAUAAAAAGUGUUAUAAAAAUAUGCAUGUAUGCAGGGGGAGUCUUUUAAAUAAUUUUCAAAUCAGUUUUUUAACCUUGCAUUGAUUAAAGGGGAGCUUUUCAUAACUAGAUUAAAUUUUUAUAAUGUGUUUUGUCAUCAUAAAAAAUGGGGAGAUUGUUAGCCUAUAUGGCUAUAGAUAUUGAUUUUGAUGAUAACAAACUACAUGUGUUGAUUAAACAAAGAUUUAUGAAUUGUGUUUUUAUAAUAAGAAAAUGAUGUUAUGGAAUUAAAGUGUUUUGGACUAAAAUGAAAGUAUUUUAAAACCUUUGAUAUUGUUUUAAAAUUUCAGAUUUGGACCUAUUUGAAAAUAUUUAAAUAUUUUAGGUCAUUCUAUAAUUUCACAUAGUUUGGGUGAAAUCAUAAUUUCAAAAAGUUUUGGGAUUGACAAAGUAUUAUUUAGAAAUUCUGAAAUUGGACCUAUUUGAAAGCUUUCAUAAAGUUUUAGGUCAUAAUAUAGUUUUAUAAAGUUAUGGGGUCAAAUGGUAAUUUUAGAAAAUAUUUCACUGUAGUAGUUACUGUAGCAAGCAGCUAACCGGAUAUGGUAAGCGGCAAUCCGAAUUUUGGGCAGUAAGCUUCUGGAGCAUAAACGGCUAUCCGGAUAUCGUAAGCGGCAUACCGGAUGUUCUGAAAUUCAAAUUUUUAUUAUAACAGUAACAUAAAAGCAGCUAACCGGAUUUCGAAAGCGGCAAGCUGGUUAUCAUCAGAAAACACAUAACGGCUAGUUUUUGGGCUCAAACUAUAUAAACUCAAAUCCAAUUCAUUUUCAAGUUCCCGAGCAAGCAUAAACAAAAAGCACAUGACAUAUCUUAAGCUCUCAAUUCGCAAAUCAUAAAACAUUGAAUCAUCUAUUGUUCUUCAUUUUUAAUAUCUACUCUUUGAGUGAGUUUUGUUGUAACUUUCAUUUCUUCAUCUUAAUUGUAAGUGUUUGAGUGUGUGAGACACUUGAGUGAAGAGAUUGUGAGAUAAUCUCUCUGUUGUAAAGGUUCAUUGACACCUUGAAGUCAAUUGUAAACGUUUGAAGCCUUGGAAAGGCUCGGAUAGUGAAAUCCUCAAGCUUGGAUCGCUUGGAGGCAUGGACGUAGGCAGGGAUUGCCGAACCACGUAAAAAUUCGUGUGUUUGUUUCUCUUCUCCCUUACUCAUUUGUUAUUGUGCUUUUAUUGAACUUAUUGCUUUCGAAUUUAUUAAGGCGUUAGAUUGGAUUGUUGUGUGGCUUUGUUAGGAUAAUUUUUAAAAUAUCAAUUCACCCCCCCUCUUGGGUUGCCCACUUAUAUUUCACUAUCCUCCACAUACAAGGAUAUUCCUCAAGAGUACGUUUGUGGACAAACAUAGAUCUCCCUCAAAGAGUUUAAGAAAAAGAAGCACUAGGAAGGCUUUUUACUGUUCUUUAUCAUUUUUUCAUGUAAAAAACCCUUCGUGAUAUCAUAGUUUACAUAGUGGAUAGGUUGUUGAGACUCUCUCCAUACUCACUAACCAAACCAUGUAAAUCUUUUGUGUCCUUUACAUUUACAUUUACAUAUACGUUGUGCUCUCUCAAGAGCAUCUUUAGAGCUCUCUAAGCUCCCAUAAAGAUGUCAUGAGCCUUUUAAGGCUCCCUAGGCUCCUUGAGUCCCAUAAAGUCCCCUAAAGUUCCUCUAGACAAAACUUCUUAACUGAUUUGAGGUAUCACUUCACUGUCCCCAUAUCAAAAGAAUCUUUAAUGUUCUUUAGCCCACAACAUUAAGAUGAACAAAAAAUGAACGAAACAAGAAUAAUGAAGGUACUAUAAUUUUUUAAAGGGAGAAAAACAUUUUAGUCCCUUUUACUUUUACAACUUAAGUCCUAAUAGAUUUUUAGAACCCUAUUUCAAGCACACUAUUGAAGGAUAUCAUAAAAGUGACAUGUUCGCUUACAAAUUGAUUAUUAGAGGAUUAUGCAAAUUUAAACUAGUCAAAUUAUUUGUUAAAAUAUAAAUAAUCCUUCGUAGUAUUUUUGUGUUACUGAACACUAAUGAUGCAAUGAGAUAUUAAAAAAUCUAUCAAGCACUAAAGUGAUUAUAAGGAAAUUUAGAUUUAGUUUAUAGAUGUAGGUCAAUUUUUACCCUUAAUUGAUUAAAUUAAUUAAUUUAAAUACAAAUAAUAAAAAUUAUGGAAAACAAAGCAUGUAGAGAUUUUUAUGUAGUUCGAUUUGCAAUCCUACAUCCAUGAGGCCACGCCUAGAUAUUAAGUAAUUCACUAAGUAUGAGCAGAUUACAAUCUAUUGGAUUCUUAUAUAAUAUCUAACUUCCUUUUACUUUCGCCACCACCUCAAUUUUGAAUUUACAUAGUGAGCAUCACUUUUCUUCUUGUCUGCAACCUUUAUAUAAAAUCCCUUCACGUUGUUUAACAAUAGACCGAGAUGAAUAUAAGACAUAGUCACUAAAUCUCCAUGAAUAGAUGUGGCAUGUACUGUUCAUAGUACUAUUCACCCAACACUAUUCAUGACAAUAUUCAUCUGCACUAAAAUUCGAUUUCUCUACUUGCAGUGACUAUUCGCCCAACACUAUUCAUGAUGUUGUUCAUUCACACUAAAACUAUAUUUCUCUACUUGUAGUGAACUAUCUUCAAUGCAUAUAAUACAUUCAUAUUCAUAGAGAAGGGUUAUAGGAGUUUAACAAGUCAUAAUAGAGUCCAUAUUCCUUUUUAAUUAUGAUGAUAUUCCUUUUUAGUUAUGAUUAUAUUCUUUUCUAAUUCAAAUUUGCUCCCAAGAUAAGAUUUCUUGUGCCUAUUUGGUAUGACUUAUUUAAUGAUCAUAAGUGCUUAUUUAAUCCCAUAAGCUCUUCAUAAUUUUUGUUGUUAUUUGGUUGUUUUUCUAAUAGAGCCUCUACUAGUAAAAACUCAAAUUUUCGGUUUUUAAGAGUAGAAGUUGAAUUUUUUUUUCUAAAUGUUAAAAUAUCUAAAAUAUCAUUUGUUUAUUUCACAAUCUUAUUUUAUUCUUUUCAUAACAUAACUUUAAAAAAUUUACUUAUUAAAGUAAUUUCAUAAAUUUUUAAUAAAAGCUCUUAUUGACAACUAAAGAACUAAUUUUUUCUUUUAGUAAAGCUAUAUUUAUAAAAACUCUACUAAUAAAAGCACUACUUAAAUAAACUCCACUUGAAAAAUUGUACUAAACGAAGCCUUUGUAUUCCAAGUAAUCUCUCCCUAAAAUAAAAUACUGAAAUCCUAAUUUUAAGAAAAUAAAUAAAUUAAAAAAUCUCCUAAUUAAUGUAUACUCCAAUUUGGGAAUUACAAAGCAAUAAGGAUACAAAACCAAAAUUGUUACAAGGUCCACAAGACUUUAGGUCUUAACACUGAUUAAAAAAGAAUAAAAAAUUCUGAGAGGGACUAAAACGUCAAUUUCUCAAUUAUUAAAUUAAGAUAAUUUGACGUUCAAGUUGAUCGGAUAAAAUUUUGAUACGAAAAUUAAGCCAUACCUAAACGACAGAUGAUCAACCUGGAUGAUUUAAACGUUGACGGUUAACGAAAAUUUCAUUUGUGUCAUCACCACAUGCAUCAAUCGAAAUGAAAUAAUAUCUAUCAUAAGAAAGGUUGGUGUAGGGAUAAGAAUCCGAAUGGGAUACGUCUUCUUAUAUGCAUAACCUAGCGUGGUACGGAGAAAAUUGACAAUGCUCUUUGGCAGGUCUUGGAAGAAGAGAAGCUGCAUCCAAAUUUUUGAAAGCGAAACCCUACAAUUGCGGCCAAAAACAUUAGCCAAGAGCUGCCAAAGAAACUCCAACUUGGCCUUUUUUGCGUGGUCCAAAAAGUCUUUCCAACUCGUGAUCUCAAAUCCGUAAUACUACUCGAUACACAACAAAAAAUUUUAUGUCUUAUACGAUUAGCUAGGCUUCAGUUUGAACGAGCAAAAAUACAAUGAACAAGCUGCUGGUAUCGACAGAGGGACAAAAGUUAAUUAGCCUGAGUCGGAUGGCUAUAGCUGCAGCAUAAUUAAUAUAUUAAAAAUGAUGAUGUUACGAACUGACUAUUAAACUCAGAAGCAUAUUGAGCUUUUGAGUUGGAUGCUUUAAGUUGAAGCAAGCUUUAGAUAUAGACAAAUUUAAUCAUGGAAAAGUAUAGACCAUAUGCAUAUAGGUAGCGAAGCUAGAUUGAAAUUUGAGGGGACAAAAGAAAAAAAACUAGGCCUUUUUAUUGAUGAUUAAAGAUUAUUCCUACUAUUUUCACGGACCAAAUGUUUUGCAUUUCAAAUGUAAAUAACUUCAAAGGGGUCCCGCCAUGCAGCCGAGUGGUUUUCGUAAAUUUCUUUAUCUUACUGGUCAGUCACCUGAGUUCGACUUAUUAAGGAAGAUAGGGGUUAAAAAUUAUAUUUCAACUUUGCUCCCCUCACUUUUUUUAAAACACAAAAGUUAAAAAAAAAUAAAAAAAAUCAUGUUACAAACUCUCUGUUAGUCCAAAGUGUUGAGCUAAUACCCAGAUAAUCUAUAUAUUUUGAGAACACCCCAAUUGUUUAUGUUAUUACUUCCAUAGCUAUUUGAUGUAACUACUCUUAAGUACAGUAGUAUGCUUUUCUGAAGUAUUUUAAUUUAAAAAAAAAAAAAAAAAAUCUUACAGGCAAUGAGUCAAAAGUUGAGAAUAAUGAAAAACCAUUAUCCUUCAAGUAAAAAUGAAUAUGAUCAGUUAUCAAACACUUAAGUCGUCAAGUAUUAAAUGUACAAUCACUCAUUCACAAAAAGUGCAUUCCCAUUUCUUCAUGAUUGAACUUUAAAAAUUUGUAGGCUUCCUAUUUUUCUAAAUAUCAAAUCCUAUCUUGCUUUUGAAUAAUGCCUUACCCUACUUGUAUUCUUGAAAAUUAAAUUGGUUUUGAGAAAUGCAAAGAAACAUUCUUAGAAGAUAAGGUCUCCUACCAAGAAAAUAAUUUGCUCUAAUUGCACGAUGUGUCUCAGUGUGUCAAAGAAAACCAAAGAACCAAACACAGACCAUUUUGAUUAUUAUACCUGAUAAACUAACAAAUCAGAAAAUUUUAGAAUAUUCCACAGCAUAUUAAAGGCCACAAUCAAAACAAUAAUUAAAUAUGGCCAAAGAAAACGACGUUUAGUAUUUUAUCCUCAUAUUGUGCGUACAGAAAUUAUUAUUCACUUGUUAAGUGUACAAAACAAUAAAAAGAUCUAGAUAAUUGAUAUGCAAAUCCAUCUUCAAUUAAUUCUUCAUCUACUUGUUAUUAUUGUCAAAAACAUGAUAAUGAAAUUUUGUCCUUAUACAGGGUGUGGUAAAGCUACAUAAUGGUGUAACUUACAAUAACCUAAGAGUUGCACAAAUCAACACAAGUACAGUUUAGUUGUCAAAUAUUUUUGGGUUAUUAAAUACAACUUUUGGGUUGAUGCUUCUAUAUAUGAUAUCAGUGGUACGAGGAAGAAGCUAGCAUGGUGUCUUCAAAUUGAGUUUCUAAAUUCUAAUUAAAUUAAAAACAAUAUUGGCCUUUCAAGAAAAUUCUAUAGGGUAAUUUUCAGGGACCUCCCCUGAGGUUUGGCGUAUUAACACUUAGAUAGAAUGUAUUGAUAUAAUUACAGACACCACCCCUACUGUUAAUUAUGAGUUAGAGUGACCGUUAGUGGACUCUUAAAGUUACUAAAAUACCCUUCCCACCUAAAUAAUUAAUUGAUAAAUAAAACUUUGAGAACUGAUGGUUAAUAAGUUUGGCUGGAAUCACACAACAUCAAAAAGACCAAAAUACCCAUCAAUGGAAAGUAAUUGACGUUGUUAUUAUUAAUUAACUCUUCAAAAUCAAAUAAAGCUACCAUUAUAAUCGUUGUAAAUAAAUGUUAAUAAUUUGAACAGCAGCAACAACUAUAAAUGGAGGCUUUUGCAAGUAAAUAAAUCAUCAAAGCACAAUUUAUUCUUCAUCUUCUACUUAAGAAAUCUUUGCAUCUGUUUCAAUAAUAUCAUCCAUUCAAAUCAUCAAUAGAAGCAUUCAACAUAAUCAAGAUCAAACAUUGUCUCAACCCUAUGGAUUUUCAAAGCUCAAACACAUCCAGUCAAUCAAACAUGGAACAAAUGAGCCAUGGCAACACGACAUAAACUCUCACUUCCUUAGCAUGUUUUAUAGGCUUGUCAAAGCAAACAUCCUUGACAUUGACAUCCUGCCACAUCUUCUUUAAGCUGGUGUAUUACUCUAGAAUUAUUGUUGCUACAUCAAUCUCAUCUCCAGCUACCACAACCCCGAUCUCCAUGUAAACAUGGCUGCAAGUUAUAAACAACAGCAUAUCAUAAGUAAUAAAAAACCAUUAAUAAAUUAAAAUAAGCUACAUGAAAGUUUAAAGAAAAUUAUACCAUCAAUAAUAAUCAUUUCAAGAUGAGAACAUCAAGCAAGAUUACGAUAUGGACUCUGCUGAUUUGAGUUUAAGUUUUAGAGGCAAAAAUGCUUCAAAUUCUGUGUGUAGUCGACAGACUUGGAAUUGAUACAUACAUCUCUUUCUAUGUGUAAAAGCAAAUAAUUGUCAUAAUACAUGAGAUUGAAAAUACUAUUGGUGCUUCCUCUCAUUACAUGCUCUGAUGAGCUCAAAAUUAAUAGAACAAAAAAUUAAAGCUGUGUUUUAAAAGAUUAUUCUAAAAGCAAAUUUGAUAUACUUCAAACUCCAAAUAGAUCAAGAUAAGAUAAAAGUACCACAACGAUUAUAAUCUUUUUUUUUUCGAAUGAGAACAUCAGAUUAUAAUAAUACUUUCUGCUUGGAUUUCCAGAAAUUAGUUCCUCUUUUGUAAGCUAUGUGCUACCAACAUGACAGCUUAUAAUAAAAAAAUGAUUAAGCAUUAAAUCGGUAUAAUGAAGAUUUGAAGAACCUUGUUACGGCUAUGAAAUAGCUCUUUCAUUAAUGGAAAACUAAAUAAAUUUAAAUUAGAAAGCUGUGUAUACUUUCUUUUAUUUCAUUAGUAGAAUAUUAUCAAGUAUCAAAGCAAUUAGUUACCAAAACCCUUACUUAAUUUGCAAAUAUCAAGAGAAAGCCCAUCAUAGAUAAUAUGCUACAUAAAAGGUUUGCAUAUGAGAGAAUUUCAACCGUGUAUGUUUUUCUUUUGGAAGAGUUCAACAUUUUUUAAAUAAAUUAUUACAAUUACUCUUAUAUAGAUGCUUUCAUAGAAAGUACUUUCAUCCAAAAACAGCUUCUGUAAAAUCGCCGUCUAGAUUUAAACAUGUAAAUUCAGCACAAAUUUUUGCCACAAAAACACAAACAAAAACACAUAAUAACUACCCUUCAAUUCUAAAGACGAAAAACAUAGUGAAUAUUUAAAAUUAAAAAAUAAAAGAAAAAGAAAAAAAGAUGAACAACAAUCAGAACAACAACUUACUAUACUUGAUUAAUAGAAAAAGAAAUCAGAGACCAUAGUUGUUGAGAUCAACAUGCAUAAAAAAAAUUCAAAUUUCAAAAACCCAUUUUCAUUUGUAAGUAAUUUAGAAUCAACCCAUUCUUUAAAAAAAAAAAAUUAACAAACUAAUCAAUUGCAUCUGAUUUGCAUCUUCGAACUGUCACAAAUGAGGACUAACCUCUUUCUCACUCCAAUUCCAGUCGCGGCUGAAGCCAUUCUCCGCCGGUACUCACUUCGUGGAAGUCUUGGGCCACCACUAGAACUCAUAUCGUUCAUAACAGAAGCUAAACUCUCCUUCAAUCUUGAUAAAGUUUUGGGCAAAAGGAGC